AAAAAAUAUUUUAUAUACACGUACAUUAUACCUCAGGUUUUGUGCAGAAAAUCAUUAUUGUACAUCAAUAAUUUCUCAAUAUAAUUCCUCUUAUCAAUCAGUAUCCCCACGGCACCUGCAGCAUCUAGGUUUAAGAUUCAUUUUCCAGUACUGCUCUGCCUUGAUCUGUUCUACUUUGACAGCCACCUGAACUUGAUUCAACUUCUUGAGAGAAGGAGGUAUUGGUGCCAUCCUCAGUUGCUUAUGUUGACUAAUGUUGAAGUAAAAGGAGAGCUUUUAACCAUUUUUUUUAUAAUUGUUUUCUUUGCAUGCUAGGGCUGCUGGCUACUGACUACCGAGAGUGAAGGAGAUAUGGACAUCAACCUUGGACUAUUUUCAGAGAGACUAAGAAGGGUGCUAGCUGGUGAAGAAUUCACGGUGCCCGAUGCUGCUGAACAACCUAUUUAGAACCUUUACACUGAGACUGAAAUCGUUGCUUCUUGGUUGAGGGACUCUAGAUACAACACUGCUUGGUUUAUGUAGCAAGUCAAUGCAGAAGAGGGUCAAACUCUUGCAGAAUUAGAAGAUUUUAAGGCUAUCAUUGACAAAAUUCGUUGCUUUUCAUACAUAUCUGAGAAUGUGAUUGACACAUUUGCUAUCAGUAUCACUCAACAGAAGAGUCAAAGCGGAUGCAGCAAGGACAUUUGUGAUGCUCUGCUAGGACUCCAAAGCAAAAUCAUUGAUAUAAAACAACGGAUGCAGCAAGUUCAGCACAUCCACUCCAGAAUCGUUGAUGAGCUCAAAUCGUUUGAAGCAAAAGCUAGUAAUUUUCCUGCAUCCUCAUCUUUUAAGAAUAGGGACACGGUGGGUCUAGAUAAUAGAAUGGAGGAGUUAUUAGAUCUACUAAUAGAGGGACCGCCUCAACUUUCGGUAGUGGCUGUUGGAAAAUUUUCAAAAUAAAUGUGUCUUAUGGUAAAGACAUGUCCUAUUAAUUGUGCCUUAUAGAAAAGGUACCUUUCACUAAAGGCAUGUCUAAUUAAAUGAUGUCUUGUUGUAAGGACAUGUCCAUUUAAUUGUGUCUUGUAGAAAAUGUAUCUUUUUACUAAAUGAUAUAACUUUUCAUGGCAACAUUUCACUUAGAGAUGCAUCAUUUCAUGGUGACAUUUCAUUUGAAAUGGUGAUGAUUCAAUUUGGACCAUUGAUUAAAAUCAAAUCUAGAUCCAAUGGCCAUGAAUGAAGGGGUAUCAUGAAAUAUGACAACCCAAAUGAGGGGGCACAAGUAUAUCUAUAAAUAGGGGUCAUGUUUAAGCCAUUUAGACAUGAAAUUAAUGAUCCUACACCACUUUUUUCUUAGCAUUCCUUUCUAGUACGAAUUUCAACACAAAACACCCAUUUCUUUUGUGCAUUCACAUUCCAAUAUAUUGUUUUCUGCAGGAACAAUAUAUUGUUUCUUGGCAGGCUUGUAACAUUCAAGAGUAUUCUGGUUUGCUUUCAUCGAUGCACAACACAAGCAAACAAACAAGUGCUUCAUUGUAUCCUGGAGGCGUAUUUGCUUAACCCAUGUGCAUUACUCAAUCGGUGGGGGCAAAUAACAUCUUAAGGAAAGUGACAUUUGUAACGCGCCUUGAAGUACACAAAAUUUCUGCAGUUUACUUAUUACUAUUAUUUUUCUUCUUACAUAAGUUGUAAACACAUUACUUUAUGUAAUAAAGUUCCGUCAUUAUUGUUACAUUUGCCAUUCCCCACAAGUUCAACCUCCAACAGUGGCCGUACUUGAUAGCAUUGGAUUGGACAAGAUGGCUUUCGCCGCAGAGGCUUAUAGCAGCAACUAUGUGAAGCAUUAUUUUGAUUGUCACGCUUGGGUUGAAGAGUCUUUACCAUAUGAUGCUGACCAAAUAUUGUACGACAUUAUUAAGUUUGUGAUGCCUUCAAGCAGGUUGAGUGAAAUUAUGGAAGAAAGUUCGGAAAUGAAAAAAAUUAUUCUUCAUGAAUAUCUAAUGACCAAGCGUUAUUUGAUUGUGCUUGAUAAUGUGUGGAGAAUAUCAGUAUGGGAUGUUAUUUGAGAAAUACUUCCCGAUAAUCAGAAUGGAAGUAAAGUAUUGAUAACACUCAGUCGAAUUGAGAUCGUCGCCUCAUUUCAGUUCGAAAAUGGAGAGAACAUUGGGCUUGAUUUUGUGCCCACUGGAGGACCAUUGAGAGUUACAUACCAAGGAUGGCCUUUCCGCAUCUUAUAUCAUGAAAGCAUCUCACUGAAAGAGAAUAUAGAGGAAGCCCUUGAUGAACCCCUGGGGCUUCAAGUCGUUGCAUAUUGUAUGUUACCUUUUUACUUGAAACUUUGUUGUCUCUACUUAUCUGUGUUUCCCGUACACUUUGAGAUAUCCACCAAGCAAUUAUAUCAGUCGUGGAUAGCCGAAGGUUUCAUUACAGACAACAAUGAGGCAACUGCCGAGAAAUACUUAGAACAACUAAUCAAUGGAGGCUUUGUUAUCCUCAUUGAAGAAGCCAAGGGAUUAGUAUUUAUAUAUAAACACUUAACCAUGCAUGAACAAGAAUUUUAAGGAUAAAGACUCUCUCCACACGAGCGUACGUGGGGCGAGGGGGACAAAUCCAUGACCAAUUUGGUUGAACUUGUGUGCGCCCUUAAAUGUCAGCCCAAGCACCGAUGGAACGUGUUUUAUUUCCUUUUAAAUUUGUUCUAACAGUUUCACACCUUUUGAAUUCAGAAGAUUUGUAAUAGCUUCGCAAUUAUUUUGGGCUGGUAUGCAAUUCAAUUUUUGAAUUGAAUUGUUUAAAAUUCAAUGGCUAUUACAGCAAUUAAAUUGCAUAUAUUGAAUUCUGAAAUUCAAUUUUUAUGUUAUUGUUACGUACCCACAUGAGUAUAAAAAGGCACAUUCCUCUUCUGUUUUUACACACAUUGAAACUAGCACACAGAGCACUUACAAUUUUUCUUUCCUCCUUUCGUCUUGUUUUCUGAUUGAGUUUACCGCUGUUGUGGUUCGCCGAAAUUAUCUGUCUGUGCUUGACAGAAAAUUUGUGCCCGUUGUAUCCUGAGAAACAGUUACCAGCAAACUUAAAGCACUUCAGUAGGUAGUAAAUCUGUUUUAAGGACACUGUAUUACAGGCCUCAAGUUUAUUUUCUUCAGUUGCUAUUUUUCUUUUCCUGUUGUUUAUAAGUUGCUGUUUUGCUGUAGUCAAAUUAGCUACUAGUUUAUUUGUUUAACUCACUGUGAUUAUUUUUUAUAACAUUGAAAUCGUCGCCUCAUUUCAGUUCGAAAAUGGAGAGAACAUUGGGCUUGAUUUGUGCCCACUGGAGGACCAUUGAGAGUUACAUACCAAGGAUGGCCUUUCCACAUCUUAUAUCAUGGAAGCAUCUCACUGAAAGAAAAUAUAGAGGAAGCACUUGAUGAACCCCGAGGGCUUCAAGUCGUUGCAUAUUGUAUGUUACCUUUUUACUUGAAACUUUGUUGUCUCUACUUAUCUGUGUUUCUCGUACACUUUGAGAUAUCCACCAAGCAAUCAUAUCAGUUGUGGAUAGCUGAAGGUUUCAUUCCAAACAACAAUGAGGCAACUGCUGAGAGAUACUUAGAACAGCUAAUCAAUGGAGGCUUUGUUGAUGCAGGGAAGAGAGGUGACAGAGGCAGAAUCAACACAUGCUCUAUUCCUGGGCAUUGCAGUCCUGCGUUGUUGACUGUGGCUUUCGAGGGGGAAUUUUUCAUUUCCCCAAUCAUGGAUCAGGAAGUUAAAUUAUGGGAAAAUGUGAAACGCUUCACCGCUCAUGGAAAUUUGAAUGAUUUUUCAUUUUUAGAUCAUUUUGACUCGUUCCUCCAUUCCUUGUUGCACCUCACUUUAGGAAGCCACUACCUUGACUCCAAUUAUUGCGAGAAAAUCUAUAAAAUGUUCAAAUUUCUCAGAGUAUUGGACUUGGGAUCUCUUGUUCUCAUUCGAUAUCCUUCCGAAAUCGAAUAUGUAUUUCUUUUGAGAUAUUUGAACUUGAAUAUCCCUUCCCUGAAAAGCCUGCCUUCAUCGUUAUUAAACAGUCUUUUGAACUUGUACACCCUAGACAUGCCCUUUAGCUACAUAGAUCAUACAGCAGAUGAAUUUUGGAAGAUGAGCAAACUGAGGUAUCUAAAUUUUGGCUCAAUUACACUUUCUGCACAUCCAGGAAAAUAUUGCGGCUCUCUGGAAAAUCUCGAUUUCAUUUCAGCCUUGCAUCCUUGCUGCUGUCCUGAAGAUAUAUUGGGCAGACUACCUAAUCUUCGAAAUAUCCAAAUAUGGGGAGAUUUAAUUUAUUAUCAAUCUUUGUUGUCCAAAAUUCUCUAUAGAUUGAGCUGCCUCGAAUCAUUGAAGUUGGCAAAGGAAAGCAAGAUUCCACGGCGAUCCAAUAUCAUCCUUGCUAAAUACCAAUUUCCUCCAAGUCUAACCCACUUGAGUUUUUUGAAUAUUGAGCUAAUGGAUCAUCCCAUGCCGGCACUAGAAAAGCUGGCGGUUCUUCAGUUGCUCAAACUGAAGUAAAACUCGUAUUCAGGUAGAAAGCUGGCUUGUAGCUCUGAUGGCUUUCCAAAACUCAAGGUGCUGCACCUUAAAUCAAUGUUAUGGCUACAAGAAUGGACUAUGGGGAUUAGAGCCAUGCCGAAACUAGAAUGCUCGAUCCUCAACCCUUGUGCUCACUUGAAAAUGAUUCCUGAACAGCUUUGGUGCCUAAAGAGCUUAAACAAAUUAGAGUUGUGGUGGCCUGAGCUGGAGCUGAGACAACAGCUACGGGAAUUCGAGGAUAAGGAGCAGUAUGGCAUUCAGCUAUAUCCAUAUGGAAUUUGAUUAGCGUGGAUGGAAUUUGAUGUAAGUUUUUUUCCUUUUUAUCCAAUAACUUCAACCUCUAAUUAUUUAUCUAAUUUCAUGUAAACAUCUAUUCUGUAUGAUUGAUUCGAUAGUACGCAGCAGCCUAAAUAAUAAUGAUACCAUAAAGUGUUUUCUAUCUAAUUUUUGUCUCAACAAAGACUUGGAAGUGUCCAUCACAUUCCCUGAUGCUGACACUAAUCAUUAAUCUCUUAUUAAUAGAAGAGGCAGAACCCUUAUGUAUUGGUUAUUGAAAUAAUCAAGAAAAACUGUAAAAUAAGAUAUUCAAUUACUUGUAUGUGUAGCAGUGUAGGUCAAAGCAGAGCGGAAAAUAUCUUAACUAUACUGCAGCCAAAGUUUCAAUUUCAAUAAGAAUCCAGCCUUCACUGAAAUUGUGUGGUUUCUCUUUUUUUUUUUAUAAGAAUUGUUUGGUUUCUUUGUUUUCAAGGAUUAUGUCAUAUUCGGAUUAAUAUUUUGUACAAAAGUUUUAUUGAUUGUUUUACUUUCUAUUUUCACAUUCACUGGUGUGUAUUCAAUUUGUCAACAUUGAAGUUGCAUAUAUGUUAUUGUUUUUUAUUUUAUUUUAUUUUUCUAGUUUUUGAGUAGUGAUACAGUUCAAUCUCAUUACUUCAGUUAGACGAAAAAUGUUUGUGCUGUGAUCACACCUCAUUAUCUUAAAACUGACAGAACGAUUUUGUCGUUCGGUUUUUUGGAAUUUCGCCGACGUGUCGUCCAUUGUAAGGGCGACAAUGCUGGUCAAAAGUCAGUUGGGGUUCGUUAAAAUAGUGCGUGGAAAUUUCGGGUUUGUUGGAAAUAGCCUUUAUUGUAGUUUAUAAGGCUGGUUGUUGGGUCAUCUUCACAGGUCUCAUCAAAGCCAUAGAAAGAGAGAGAGUUAAAGGGAAAAAGUUGCAUAUUCUUGGAAUGAUUGUGAAAUGGUCCUUGUUCUUCAGUGGAUGUAGGCACUUUGAUUCAAUUUUGAGUUUCGGUUUCCGGAACGAUUCUUGAUACGUCAAAUAGGGUCUUAGGUGUGUGAUCUUGGUACUAACAGAGGAUUAAACACAACAAAAAAGAAACUGGGGCAUAUUGUCUAAUCUUCAUAGACUCCAAAUAUAUGGAGAUUUUAGCCCUCGUCAAUCUGGGUUGUCCAACAGCCCUUGUAAAAUAAAAAACCAUCACUAAUCCUUGGUGACUUUAGGGAUCCAGUAAGGACUAGGUAGAAUUGAAGAGGAGAUUUAACGAGUAAAGUUCUGAAAGUGGAAGAUUUAAAAUUUAAUCUGUAGCGUUGCAGGUUUUGGAAGCUUCGUUAGAAUUGAUGACUGAAUUCUUUCUCUGUUGGUUGAUUAGUAGCCCAAUUGCACUAAGAGAAUAAAGAGCAGCUGUAAUCGUUUUCACAUUUUCCGUUCCAGCAUCCAGAGGGUGCCUUGUAAUGCAGUGCAAUGAAGUUGAUGGCGUGAGGAUGUGCUGCUGCUCACUCAAUUCCUUACAGUCACAUCAAAGCCCUUGUUUGCAGCAGAGGAAUUCCCUUUUGUAUUCAAAUUAAUCCUUCUGCUUUGGUUGUCAUUGGAUUCUUUCCACUCUUUAGCCAGUAACAUAAUGUUGAGUUUAUUGAUUUUGCUAUCUUAAGAAUGUCCAAGACAUUUUGUAAUCAUGAUAUAUUGUCAUUUUAUUUUGAGACAAAAGACUUUUUUCCCAGUUAGCAAAUGCUUAUUGCUUUCAUUUUUUGGAUUGGAAAAACAAAAAUUGGAAGAAGAAAAAUGAAAAUUAAUAAACAAAAAAAAGAUUACAGGACAGCAGCAUCAUGUUCUUUUCUUUGAACUAAGUCUUUGUUUAACCUUUCACCUUUUCCAUUUUGUGAGUUUGGUAUCUCUUUCUUUUCUUGAACCAAGAUUUUUACUUUACUUACAAGUAAAGUUUAAAUGAUCUUGAUCGUUUAUUUUUCUCUGAACUUAUUUUUCUUUCACAUGCACGAUCAUUUUCAAUUCUAACAAAUCAUUCAUCUAUCAAUACCCAAUUUGAAUAAAAUUCAGCAUUCCUUUUCAUAUUCUUUCUAUGUAAUAAUUUGAUUGUGUUGUUUUUAAUCAAAAUAAGAUAUAUAUCGUCAGGAUAUUGAAGUUUGUGAUCACUUUAAGAAAAAACAGGUAGUUUAAUAUCUGAAUUAUCCACAAAAUAACUCCAUUUUAUUAUUUUUAUAUCAUGAAUGUGAGGUUCAUGAUUUAUUUGCGUUUGAUUCUUGUUUACAAGUUAUGUUUUUCCUCACACGUUUCAUAUGAUCACAAAUCAGAUAAAAAGGGGGAAAUUAAAAAAAAAAGAUUGAAAGCUAGCUUAUUUUGAGUACAAGCAAAAUCUUGCUCAUUUCCAGGGCGAAAGUAGCAGGGACGUUUUGAGGUGUUUUUAAAAAUACAGGGACUAAAUGGACACUAACCUCAUAAUAUAGGGACUAAACAAGCUUUUACCCCAUUUAGAAAUGCGUUGACAAAGAGAUUAAUUUGUCACAUGAUGGUUUCUAGGUAGAAUCUUUCCAAGCUAAUUUGCAUUUUAUAAAAUUUUUCUUUCUAUUCGUUUUACGUAAUGAUUAGUCACCAAUCUUGGUUUGAGAAUGCAUACUCAACAUGAGGUUAUAAGAUUCAUUUCCGGCACUCUACCUUUCAUCUCUUGUAAUUUGACUGUCAGCAAUCUUGAUUUAACUUUUUGAAUGGCAACACUCGGCAUGAUUAAUUAGAGAAGGAGGUAUCAGGCAUAGGGUUCUGAGUAGAGUUUCAUCAACAAUUAAUGCUGGUUAAUGUUUGAAUUGACAGACAUAAAAAUUUCUUAUUAUUAUUAUUUUUAAUCUUUUAAUAAUUGUCUCUCUCAAUUAUGUCUCAAUUUGCAUGUUAGGACCACUAGGCACAGAGAGAGGAGGAGAUAUGGACAUCAACUUCAGACUAUUUUCCGAGAGGCUGGGACGGGUGUUAGCUGGUGAAGAAGUCACGUUGCCUGAUGCUGUAAAACAACCUAUUCAGAACCUUCAUGCGGAGGUUGAAAUCGUUACUUCUUGGCUGAGUGAAUUUGAAGAUGAUAUCUCCUGGCUUCUGAUGCAAAAAAUAGGAGAAGUUGAAAUUGACAACCCAGAUCUUGGGACCGUUAUGGAUGAAAUCAAUUGCUUUACUUAUGAAUCUGAGAAGGUCAUUGACACAUUCAUCAGCAGCAUUACUCAACAGAAGAGACAAAGCGGGCGCAGCAAGGACAUUUGUGAUGCUCUGCUAGGACUCCAAAGCAAAAUCAUUGAUAUAAAACAACGGAUGCAACAAGUUCAGCACUUCGAUUCCGGAAUCAUUGAUGAAGUCAAAUCAAUUGAAGCUGAAGUCGGUAAUUUUCUUGCAUCUUCAUCGUCUAAGAAUAGGGAGACGGUGGGUCUAGAUGAUAGAAUGGAGGAAUUGUUAGAUCUAUUGAUAGAAGGACCACCUCAACUUUCAGCAGUGGCCAUACUUGAUAGCAUUGGAUUGGACAAGACGGCUUUCGCCGCAGAGGCUUACAGCAGCAACUAUGUGAAGCAUUAUUUUGAUUGUCACGCUUGGGUUCCGAGCCUCACAGCUAUGAUGCUCACCGAAUAUUAGAUCUCAUUAUUAAGUUUCUAAUGCCUUCAUCUAGACUGAGUGAAAUGAAGGAUAAAAAUUAUGAAAUGAAAAAAAAAUUCUUCGUGAAUAUUUAAUGACCAAGCGGUAUUUGAUUUUUUUUUAUAAUGUGUGGAGAAUAUCAGCAUGGGAUGUUAUUCGAAAAAUACUUCCCGAUAAUCAAAAUGGAAGUAGAGUAUUAAUAACACUCGCUCAAAUUGAGAUUGUCACCUCAUUUCAGUUUGAAAACGGAGAGAACAUUGGGCUUGAUUUUGUGCCCACUGGAGGAGCAUUGAGAGCUACAUACCAAGGAUGGCCUUUCCACAUCUUGUAUCAUGGAAGCAUCUCAUUGGAAGAAAAUAUAGAUGAAGUAUUGACCAUGUCCCUUGGGCUUCAAUGCAUCAUAUAUUGUAUGUUACCUUUUUGCUUGAAACCUUGUUUUCUCUACUUCUCCGUUUUUCCCGCACACCUAGAGAUAGCCACCAGGCAGUUAUAUCAGCUGUAGAUAGCUGAAGGUUUCAUUUCAGACAAUAAUGAGGCAACUGCUGAGAAGUACUUAGAGCAACUAAUCAACAGAGGCUUUGUCAAAGCAAAUAAGAGAAGAACUGGAGGCACAAUCAACACAUGCUCUAUUCCUGGUCGUUGCCAUCCUGUAUUGUUAGGAGUGGCUUCCGAGGUGGAAUUUAUCUUUUCCCCUUUCAUGGAUACAGAAGGUAAAUCACAAAAAAAUGUCAAAUGUUUCUACGCUUAAGAACAACAGAGUGAUUUUGCUUAGAUGAUUAUGACUCGCACCUGCAUUCUUUGUUGUACUUCACUUCAGAAAGCAACCACCAUGACCCCAUAGAUUGCCAGAAAAUUUGUGAAAUGUUUAAACUUCUCAGAGUAUUGGACUUGGGAUCUCUUGUUCUCAUCCAAUAUCCGUCCAGAAUUGAAAAUUUAUUUCUUUUACGAUAUUUGAAGUUGAAUAUCCCUUCCCUCAAAAGCCUGCCUCCAUCAUUAUUAAGUAAUCUUCGGAACCUCUACACCCUAGAGAUGCCCUUUAGCUAUAUAGAUCAUACAGCAGAUGAAUUUUGGAAGAUGAACAUACUCAGGCAUCUAAAUUUUGGGUCAAUCACACUUCCUGCGCAUCCAGGGAAAUACUGCGGCUCUCUGGAAAAUCUCAAUUUCAUUUAAGCCUUGCAUCCUUGCUGCUGUACUGAAGACAUAUUGGGCAGACUACCUAAUCUUCAAAAUCUCCGGAUAUGGGGAGAUUUAAGUUAUUAUCAAUUUUUAUUGUCCCCUCGAGUCAUUGAAGUUGGUGAACGAAAGCAAGAUGCCAGCUUUCUCCAAAAUUGUCCUAGUUGAGUACCAGUUUCCUCCAAGACUAACCCACUUAAGUUUCUCUAAUACGAAACUUAUGGAGGAUCCCAUGCCCGCACUAGAAAAGCUGCCACUUCUUCAAGUGCUCAAACUGAAGCAAAACCCGUAUUCAGGUAGGAAGCUGACUUGUGGCUCUGAUGGUUUUCCAAAUCUCAAGGUAUUGCACCUGAAAUCAAUGCUAUGGCUAGAGGAGUGGACUAUAGGGACGGGGGCCAUGCCGAAACUAGAAUGCUUGGUUAUCAACCCUUGUGCUUACUUGAAAAAGAUGCCCGAACAGCUCUGGUGCAUAAAGAGCUUAAACAAGUUCGAUUGCUGGUGGCGGCUGAGACAAAAGCUACGGGAAUUUGAGGAUAAGGAACAGUGCGGCAUUCAACUAUAUCCUUACGGAAUUUGAUUAGCCCCCAUUGAAUUUGAUGUAUGUUUCUCAUUUUAACCAAUUUCUUCAACUUUUAAUUAUUUAUCCAAUUUCACAUAUAUUUUUUUCCCUUCUCUUCAAUAUAAAGAUGGUUAUACAAAGUGUUUUCUUUUAAUUUGUCUCAAUAUUGAGUACAUUGAGUACCUUUUAGAGUUUCCGAUACUCACCCCAAUCAUCAAGCCCUCUUUAGCAGCAGUGGAGACUUAAGUACCCUUGUAUAUUCAACCAUGAGCCUAGCAGACAUCGCGUUCAUUUGCUUUAAUAGUUAAGACAAAAAAUGUAAUUAAAAAUUCUUAUUUUUCACAAUUUCUUCAAUAACUUGUGUAGGUGAAAUCAAAGCAGAAAACAACAUAACUGCAGCCCGAGCUUCAAUUCCAACCAGAAUCCUUUCUGUCUUCACUCUGCUGUCUACACAAAUAAAUCCUGAUCCUACGGUGGUGGACUUUUUUUUGGUUUCUUUGUUUCAGCUGUCUAUCCAUAAAUAAGAAAUCUCGCUUAGGAUUUUCAGUUGAGAGUUCAUUGAUUUGUGCUUCGGCCAUGGUUUCGUUAAUUGUGUACAAAAAAUAAAUAAUAUUUGUGAUGCUUUCUGGUGUUGGGUUCAGUUGAAUGUAUUUUCUGUCUUUGUUCUGUUGCUUGCUCUGAAAUCCUAUUUCAAAGGCUGGGCAAGUUUGGCACUCGAUAUGCUUCGUUUACUUCCAGAAAAGAUUGAUUAUUGAUGAACUUCAUACUUGGCUGAAUAUCUUAGUAAACGUUCUUGUGAAGAAAUCCUAAUACCCACUGAGGCACUACAAUAAGGCAGAAAUACUAAUAUUGCUUUACAUGUGUUGAUUGAUUAACAGUUUUGUUCUCUGCUGCUCUUUCUUUAUCUGUUGCAGAAAAUUCCUUCAAUAUGAUUGAUAGUUGCUACUAAUUAUAGAAGCAUUCCUCCUUUGGCUCAUUUCAUGGAAUAUGAAAGACAGAUUACUGAGACAGAGCCACGCUUCUUUACCUUCCCAGAGAAAGUUGAAGUUUGGGCUGCGUACUUGGGAGUGGAAUGAAGAGCGGCAGCAAAAUGAUUACAAGGAUUGCCAUUUACAGGGGCAUUUUUGUGACUACUGAUGUGUCCCUCUAAUGGUUCAAUAAAUUGAAACCACGUCUAGUAAAAGGCUAGAAAAACGCCGUGUUAUAGUAAGCAUCGACUUUCAAUAAUAGAAUUUUGUGUGCAAGUGUGAAGUUCAUCAAUAAUCAAUCUUUAUAACUAUUGCCUACGGUAUAAAAAUAUUUAUAAAAGAGCAAGUAAUUGCAAUCCCUCGUUCAAAUUUAUAACAAAUCAACUAUAAAAAUAUUCAGAGCAAAAUUCAAGAUUAAAUUAUGUUCUAUAUUGGAUCACACGUUAAAAUAGUUAUCAAGAUAUGCAUGUAUAUAAUUAAAUAAAUGUAGAAAUUUAAUUUGGUUUGUUAGCAUUCCAUUAAGAAUAAAUUUAAACAAUUAACUAAUUAAAUCCUCGUUGAAUAAUUAUUAAGCUUCAUUUAAACUAAUAAAAUAUGUUUGUGAUAUGAUAUCUCAUAACAAAUUAACUAACGACUUUGAAAUUUAUGCUAUCUAUCUCAUGAAAUUUAUCAAACUCAUACUUGAUUCUUAGAUCAAGUUACAAAAAUCGUGUGAGGUGAAUCAGUAGAUUAAGGGCUAGCUCAAGUGAAGCUUUGAGGCAGCAGAAUCAACACAUGCCACAUUUUAAUAUUGUCAUUAUUAUUAGCAGUGUAUCAAAUUUGAAAAGUAAUUCCAGUUGUCUUUGUUUCAGCUGUGUACUCAUUAAGUAAGAGAUUUCAUUUCAGCAGAGAGUUGACUGUGUAUAAAAAUAAAGAAUGUUUGUGAUGCUUUCUAGUCUUGGAUUAAGUGGGAUUAAUGUAUUUUCUAUAAAAACUGAUCAAAAAUUUCCUCCCAUGGAUGCAUGCUAAUGCAAAUUAGCUGAACCACGUUGAAUCGAUUUGUCCUCUGUUGGUUCUUUCAAUUCUUUGAUUCAAUUUGAUCUUAAUUGCUUUAUAUCCAUUCAUCAUCAUCUUGUUUCAAUUCCAUUUUCAAUUGAGCUUCAAAUCAGUUCAUUCUUGGUAGCAUCUUGAUUGAUUGGAUUGUGAUAUUGGGCAGCAACUGAGGUAUCUCUGGUUUUAAGCACUCCAGUUGCUACAGUUAGGCACUCAAUCAAUAUGCUUUGUUCAUUUACAGAAGAGAUUUGAUUACUGAUGAACUUCAUGCUUGCCUGACUCUGAUCCCGUGUAGUGGGUUGAGAGGAUUACAUGGAGGUGCUGUUAAAGCUAAGGCAUAAGGCAGAGAAGCAAGCUAUGGAAGCCAAUUAGGUUGAAGACUGUCAAUAAACAAACAUAAUUCGAUUAGCAGUAGGUCGUUAAUACUUAAUAUUUAACGUGAGGAACAAGUUUUUCAGCCUCGCCUCAGAGUGAUAACUACUUCGACUUUGUCUGUUACUUGGAAACUUUGGUGCCUUCCAUGACAAUCAUUUUGUGGCAGCACAGUGAACGAUUCUGUUGCUUUUGCUUUCAAUGAACAGGGCUACCUUACCAGAUAGGGUUAGCAUUUUAUUAAUUGCAAGUGGUAGCUUAUUUAUUCAUUACUUUUGUCUUCUGUGAAUAUAAAACACUGACUAUGUAAUCAUAAUACUUUUUUAAUAAGGAGUAUGAUGAAAAUUAAAAACAAAUAAUGAUUUUGUAAUUAUUUAUUAUGCUCCAAGUCAAUAAAUAUCACAUCAACCCCCAAUAUUUUCUCUGCUACUACUUUCUUAUUGUACUCAUUAUCAAAAUUCUAUAAUAAACAUCAUUUAUGUGUAGGAGAAACUAUUGACUAAACUGACUUUCUUGCGCUACUGGAGUACUAAGAGAAAGAGUUGUGUAGGUCAACCUAAGAUCAAUUUCAUUCAUCAGACUAUUUUCAGAGAGGCUGAGAAGGGUGUUAGCUGAUGAAGAAGUCACGUUGCCUUGUUGAUGCCAAAAUCUGGAUAAGUUGGUCAGAUCUCAGAUUCCUGCAUCAUCAUUAAAUUUGUUUGAUGGGAAGCUGCUGAUUAGUUAGCACCAUGAGCAGAUUUUCUAUGAGCAGACAACCCAUGAGCAGAUAAUCCAUAAGCAGACGAUCCAUGAGCAGAGAACCUAUGAGCAGACAAUCCUUGAGCAGACGAUUCAUGAGCAUACAAACCAUGAGCAGACAACCCAUGAGAAGACAGUCCAUGAGCAGACAAUCCUUGAGCAGACGAUUCAUGAGCAUACAACUCAUGAGCAGACAAUCCAUGAGCAGACAACCCAUGAGCAGACAAUCCAUGAGCAGACGAUCCAUGAGCAGACGAUCCAUGAGCAGACAACCCAUGAGCAGACGAUCCAUGAGCAGAUAACCUGUGAGCCUGUGAACACAACCAACAGUCAAGAGGUGCCGGAUGUUUUUCCGGCGAGAACCCUCCGACACUCAAGUCAGCGAUUUGGGUCUUACUUGGAAAAACUCAUACCACAAUUCAUGUGGUUUAAUUAUGAUUGCUUUAAACAAAAAGCUUUUAAGUAAAUUUAAAGGAAAAGAAUUCGAAAUAAUCAAUCUUAAAGAAAUCACAGGCGAAAGAGAAAUUUCUCAGUUGUAGAGAGAGAAAAAGGUCCAAUGGGUUCAGUUACCCAAAGAGAGAGAGAGAGAGAGAGAGAGAGCUAGAAGAAUCCCCCUUUUUUCCUUCCCCUUCCUAGCGUUUUUAUAGGAAACUAUAGCGGUUUUCAUCCACUCUCCUAAAAUUAUUAAGAAAACUACUAAUUUUUAGCCCACUAAGAAUAUGGUCCCUAAUAUUUCGAAGAAAAUAUUUUGACUGAAUCGUGCUUUUUGGUAACUUCCUGGUCGAGGUGACCAAUAACAUCCUGGCCGAGGUGAUGUGCUCGAGGUCACCACAUAUUAUUCUGGUCGAGGUCACCACAUAUUAUUCUGGUCGAGGUCACCACAUAUUAUUCUGGUCGAGGUGACUAAUAAUAUCCUGGUCGAGGUGAUCUGGUCGAGGUCACCACAUAUUAUUCUGGUCGAGGUGACCAAUAACAUCCUGGUCGAGGUGAUCUGCUCGAGGUCACCACAUAUUAUUCUGGUCGAGGUGACCAAUAACAUCCUGGUCGAGGUGAUCUGCUCGAGGUCACCACAUAUUAUUCUGGUCGAGAUGACCAAUAAUAUCCUGGUCGAGGUGAUGUGCUCGAGGUCACCACAUAUUAUUCUGGUCGAGGUGACCAAUAAUAUCCUGGUCGAGGUGAUAUGCUCAAGGUGACCAAUAACAUCCUGGUCGAGGUGAUAUGCUCAAGGUCACCACAUAUUAUUCUGGUCGAGGUGACCAAUAAUAUCCUAGUCGAGGUGAUCUGCUCAAGGUGACCAAUAACAUCCUGGUCGAGAUGAUCUGCUCAACCAUUGCUCGCUUUUACUCUGGAGGAGAGCACGAUAAUGUAUGAGCAAACACCUUUAUCUUGGUCACCCUAUUUCAUUCCCUAAACACCCCUGAUGCUGCAAAACAACCUAUUCACAACCUUCUCGCCGAGAUUGAAAUCGUUACGUCUUGGCUGAGGGACUUUGAAUAUGAAACGACCUGGCUUCUGGUGGAAAAGAUAGGACACAGAGAAAUUGAAAACCAGAUCUGGCGACCGUUAUGGACGAAAUCAAUUGCUUUACGUAUGAAUCUGAGAAGGUCAUUGACACAUUCAUCAACAGCAUCACUCAACAGAAGAGUCAAAGCAGCUGCAGCAAGGACAUCUGUGAUGCUCUGCAAGGGCUCCAAAGCAGAAUCACUGAUAUUAAGCAACGAAUGCAACAACAUAAGCACAUGGAUUCCGAAAUCAUUCAUGGCAUCAAAACUUUUGAAGCUAAAGCCGGUAUAUCUUCAUCUUCUAAAAGUAGGGACACGGUGGGUCUAGAUGAUAGAAUGGAGGAGUUGUUAGAUCUAUUGAUCGAGGGACCACCUCAGCGUUCAAUGGUGGCCAUACUUGAUAGCAUUGGGUUGGACAAGACGGCUUUCGCCACAGAGGCUUACAACAGUAGUUAUGUGAAGCAUUAUUUUGAUUGUCACGCUUGGAUUACAGAACCUUACAGCAAUGAAUAUGAUGCUGACCAAAUAUUAGAUAUCGUUAUUAAGUUUCUGAUGCCUUCAUCUAGGUUGAGUGAAAUAAUGGAUAAAAAUUAUGAAAUGAAAAAAAUAAUUCUUCAUGAAUAUCUAAUGACCAAGCGGUAUUUAAUUGUGAUUGAUGAUGUAUGGAGCAUUGGUAUGUGCGGAUGUUAUUUAAGAGAUACUUCCUGAUAAUCAGCAUUGGUAUUAAUAACACUCACCGACAUUGAGAUUGUCACCUCAUUUCAGUUCGAAGACGGAGAGAACAUUCGGCUUGAUUUAGUGCCCACUGGAGGACCAUUGAGAGCUAUAUAUAAAGGAUGUCCAUUCCUCCUCUUAUAUCAUGGAAGCAUCUCAUUAGAAGAAAAUAUAGGGGAAGCAGUGCAGAUACCCCUUGUGCUUAGGUAUUUCGAAUAUUGCAUGUCACCUUUUUGCUUGAAACUUUGUUUUCUCUACUUAUCUGUGUUUCCUGCACACCUAGAGAUAUCCACCAGGCAGUUAUAUCAGUUGUGGAUAGCUGAAGGUUUCAUUCUAGACAAUAGUGAGGCAACUGCUGAGAGUUACUUAGAACAACUAAUCAAGGAAGGCUUUGCUGAAGCAAAGAAGAGAAAAGCCGGAGGCACUAUCAACACAUGCUCCAUUCCUGGUCGUUGGGGUCCCCUGUUGUUCUUAGUUCCUUCUCAGGUGGAAUUCAUCUUUUCCCCUUUCGUGGAUGGUAAAUCAGGAAAAAAAGCCUUAUUGUUCUUGACUUCUUGUGCUUACUUGAAAAAGAUGCCUGAACAGCUCUGGUGCAUAAAGAGCUUAAACAAUGUCAAGUGUUGGUGGCCUCAGCCGGUGCUGAGACAAAAGCUACGGGAAUUCGAGGAUAAGGAGCAGUAUGGCGUUCAGCUAUAUCCUUACGGAAUUUGAGUAGCCCCUAUUGAAUUUGAUGUAUGUUUCUCGCUUUACCCAAUUUGUUCAACUUUUGAUUAUUUAUCCAAUUUCAUAUACUUUUUUUCCCCUUCUCUUCAAUAUAAAAAUGGUUAUACAAAGUGUUUUCUUCUAAUUUGUCUCAGCAUUAAGUACCCUUUAGAGUUUUCGAUGCUCACCCCAAUCAUCAAUCCCUCUUUAGCAGCAGUGGAGACUUAUGUACUCUUCCAUAUUCAACCAUGAACCUAGCAGACAUCGGUGUUCAUUUGUUUUAGUAGUUAAGAAAAAAAAAUGUAAUUUAAAAUUCUUAUUUUUCACAAUUUCUCAAUGACUUGUGUAGGUGAAAUCAGAGCAGAAAACAUCAUGACUGCAGCCCGAGCUUUAAUUUUCAACAAGAAUCCUUUUCGUCUUCACUUCUGUUGUCUACACAAAUAAAUCCUGAUCCUACGGUGGUGGACAUUUUUAGGUUUCUUUGUUUCCGCUGUCUGUUCAUAAAUAAGAAGUUUCGUUUCAGAUUUUCAGUUGAGAGUUGAUUGAUUGGUGCUUCAGCCACGGUUGGCUAAUUGUGUACAAAAAAAUAAAUAAUAUUUGUGAUGCCUUUCUAAUCUUGGAUUUAGUGGAAUGUAUUGUCUGUCUUUGUUCUGUUGCUUGCUUUGAAAUCCUGUUUUAAAGGCAUGUUUGACACUCAAUAUGUUUGGUUUAUUUUUAGAAAAGAUUGAUUAUUCACGGACUUGAUACUUGGUUGACUCUCUUAGUAAAUGUUCUUGUAAAGAAAUCCUAAGAUUCUCUUAGGCCUUUUUCUUUUUUUUCCUAUGAUGAAUUGUGCUCACUACGGUAGGCAUAUCCACCUAGGCAGUAAAUAGAUUCUAGAAAUAUUCCUUCUUUGUCUCUUUUUUCUUUUCUUUCCCUUUUGUUUUUUUGAAAAUGGUUUAUUAUGAUGUUAAAGAGGUGUCUAGACAUUGAGUGGAAAAAGAAAAUACUACCGAAUGCUAGAGGCUUAUUUGAACUUGGUAAAACCAGCGUCAUAGAUGUGAUAUUUUUCUCAUUCCAAGGAAUAUGAAAAAUAUAUUACAACAUUGCACAAUUCACUAUUUUUUUGGCACCCUUAUGUCGCUGUUAGAACUCUUUAUCAUUUUUCGUUUCUUAAAAAAGAAUGUUAAAAAGAUCCCCAAAUUUAUGCGGGAUAUGUAUGUAGUUUUAAAAUGAAGAUAUAUUAAAUAUAAAAUUUUACAAAGGAUUUAGUACUUUCUCUAAAUCUCGUUGAAAAAAUAAGAUAGUAUCGUACAUGAUUAAUAGUGCAUAUAUAUUUGAGUAAUUUUACAUUUAUAACCUUGGGAUACAAAUUUUAUCUGUGAUAUACAUACAUGCAAGUCUCGCAAUAAAUUUAACACACCAGGCAUGAUUUUGCGGAGAAGUCUAUGUUGCGGAGAAGCCCAUGUCCUAAUUUUGCAUUUUUCCACAGCAUAAAUUAUUAAAUAAGUCUCGCAAUAAAUUUGACCUUUCCUUUCUUAAAAGUGGAUGUAUAAAACAAAUUGGUCUUGAUCGAUGCUUGACGAUGUCCUGUUCAUUUUUCUCUACUUUAUGCUUUUUACAACAUAUAGAAGAUAAGAGUAUUGUAAGAUUCUGCCUUGAUCUGUUCGAUCAAAAGAAAAAGCCAUUUUGGAGUUUUAUCAACAAUUUCCUUGUGUAGGCGGAGAUCCCGGAGUACUCCUAUGGUCGAUCUGUCACCCAACCUACUUAAGGCUUGGCCCCGUCCCGUUUGGAGAAUGACCCUUAUGGCAUGGCUUAGUUAGUUAUUCUCGCAGUUCAGAUAAGAUUCGGGCCCCCAUCCUGAUUUGUCUCUGGGCAUCCUUAGCCAAAUACAUUCUACUUUCGUUGUGGCAAUGUUAUGGUACGGUAAAGAUAAUGGAUGACAUUGAUGAAAGGCAUCCUUAAAUUCAAGUUGUCUACACCACAUUGUUUCCAUUCAGGGACUGGUCUUAGAAAUGAAGAUAGAAGGCCAUUUCUGCAUUGGCAGGUUACGGUUUUGAGAGUCAACGAUCUUGAUUCAGCUUCUUGACUGAAGAACUAGCUAAGCAAAGGGAGGUAUGAGAGUGUUGUGAAAAUUUUAAUAUACUCGCAAGCGCACGAAUCUAGAAAUAGAAUAGUGGUAACGAGGUCGAUCCCACAGGGAUUGUUAUAAAUUGGAAAGUCUAAUUUAAAUCUAAAAGUAAUAUUAAUUCUAACCUAGUUGAGCAAAUUGAGUUUUAAGAGAAAUUAAACUAAUUAAACUAAGAAAACAAUUAAAGUAAAUGAGAAUUCAAUGAGAUAAAAAUUACCAAGGUUUCAGAAUCCACCACUAUUCAACUAGUAAUUAUCUAAAUAUUCAUUAAUCCCCAAUUUUAGAGUAACAACUCGAAAUCAAUCUAUGUCAUCUCAUUGAUAUAACAAUUAAGCCCAAAUAAAAUUAAUCUUGUGUAGGUUCUUUUUCUGCUUAAUAAUAUGACAUCUAAGAAUCUCAUGUAAACAUAUUGAAUAACAAAGAGUCAAAGUUUCCCUAAGCACUCUAUGUAAACAAUUUAAUGAAAGACAUAAAAUCAAAGAUAAUCAUGUAUAAACUUUAAAGAUCCAAGCAUAGAUUUCAUCGAAUAUUAAUCCUAACAAUCAAUAAUGCAUGACAGAAUUGAUGAAAAGAUUUUAAUAACAUCCAAUUAAUUAUGUGAAAUAAAAACCAUAAUCAUUAAAGAAUAUAUAUAGGGAAUUAAUUAAAUAAAAAGAGAUAAUUAUUUCAUUGAAUAGGGUUUCAUCCUUAACCUCAGUGUAAGAAAAUUAGUUAGACAUACUUGAAUUGGAAGCAACAAAAUAAAUAAAUUCAGCCAUGGGGAAGCCGAAUUGCUGCAGAUUUUCUUCUCUAUCUUGAAUCCUUGCGUCUGCAGUUCUCUUCUUCCUCUCGUGGCCCUCCUCUCACAAAAGCCAAAGUUCAGCUUUUAUAUUGUAACACCCUCCAAAAUCCUCAAAUCAAAAGGAUUUAAAACAAGCCAAGCACAACCGACUUUGAGCCCAUGCACUUGGAGCCCACUUGGAAUUUUCAUUCUUUUUGUAAUGCCAUGCAAUUGCUUCUCACGUGCAGGCCACUUUAGCUUUAAAUUUCUUCUUUGUUUGCACCAGCAUGGAAAAUUCAAUUUAUUGGCUUUUUUUUCAGAUUGAAUUUCAUAUACAUUUACUUAACUGCUUCUACAAAUUGACUUGAUCUUCAAUGUUGUUCAGUUGUUAUUCUUUAUGCACUUUUUAUCCAUAAUCUCCAAUUAAUUCCCUAUUCAAUAAAACAAUUCAACUAAUUAAAAAUAACAAAUAAAUAUAACUAGUAUGCUCAUCAGGGAGCCAGCACAAAGCUUUGAAUUGAGAGUUUUAAAGCAUAUUUUCCUUUUCCCCUCUCUUUUAAUUAUUUCUUUGCAUGCUACAGGACUGAUUUCAGGGUGAAUAUGAGAGAGGAGGAGAUAUGGACAUCAAGUUCAGACUAUUUUCAGAGAGGCUGAGAAGCGUUUUAGCUGGUGAAGAAGUCACGUUGCCUGAUGCUGCAAAACAACCUAUUCAUAACCUUCAUGCCGAGAUUGAAAUUGUUACUUCUUGGCUGAGUGAAUUUGAAGACGACAUGUCCUGGCUUCUGCUGCAAAAAAAAAGGAAAAGAUGAAAUUGACAACCCAGAUCUGGCGACCGUUAUGGACGAAAUCAAUUGCUUUACCUGUGAAUUUGAGAAGGUGAUUGACACAUUCAUCAACAGCAUCACUCAACAGAAGAGUCAAAGCAGCUGUAGGAAGGACAUUUGUGAUGCUCUGCAAGGACUCCAAAGCAGAAUCACCGAGAUUAAUCAACGGGUUCAACAACUUAAGCACAUCGAUUCCGAAAUCAUUGAUGAGUUCAGAAGGGCUGAAGUUGAAUCCAGUUAUUUUCUUGCAUCUUCAUCUUCUAAGAAUCGGAACACGGUGGGUCUAGAUGAUAGAAUGGAGGAGUUGUUAGAUCUAUUGAUCGAGGGACCAAAUCAGCUUUCAGUGGUGGCCAUACUCGAUAGCAUUGGGUUGGACAAGACGGCUUUCACUGCAGAGGCUUACAACAGUAGUUAUGUGAAGCAUUAUUUUGAUCAUCUAGCUUGGAUUCCAGCGCCUUAUCACUAUGACGCUUACCAAAUAUUAGAUAUCGUUACUAUGUUUCUAUUGCCUUUUUCUAUGUUGAGUAAAAUAAAGGAUAAAGAUUAUGAAAUGAAAAAAAUUAAUCUUGGUGAAUAUCUAAUGACUAAGUGGUAUUUGAUUGUGCUUGAUGAUGUGUGGAGCACAAAUGUAUUGGAUGUUGUUCGGGAAAUACUUCUGGAUAAUCAGAAUGGAAGUAGAGUGCUAAUCACACUCACUCGAAUUAAGAUGGUCACCAGAUUUCAAUUUGAAAACGGAGAGAGCGUACGGCUUGAUUUAGUGCCUACUGGAGGACCAUUGAGAGUUACUUAUCAAGGAUGGCCUUUCCUCAUCUUAUAUCAUGGAAGCAUCUCAUUAGAAGAAAAUAUAAGGGAAGUAUUCGAGACACCCUUAGGGCUUCUAAUUGUAAUAUGUUGCAAGCUACCUUUUCACUUGAAACUUUGUUUUCUCUACUUAUCUGUGUUUCCCGCACACCUAGAGAUAUCCACCAGGCAGUUAUAUCAGUUGUGGAUAGCUGAAGGUUUCAUUCCAGACAACAGCGAGGCAACUGCUGAGAAGUACUUAGAACAACUAAUCAAUAGAGGCUUUGUUGAUGCAAGGAAGAGAAGAGCUGGAGUCACAAUCAACACAUGCUCUGUUCCUGGUCGUUGCCAUCCUGUGUUGUUAGCAGUGGCUUUCAAGGCAGAAUUUAUCUUUUUCUCAUUCAUGGAUCCAGAAGGUAAAUUACGAAAAAAUGUCAAACCGAUCAACGUUUUUGAAAAACAUAGUGAUUUUGCUUACUUAGAUGAUUAUGACUCGCACCUGCAUUCUUUGUUGCACUUCACUUCUAAAAGCGACUACCUUGUCUAAUGUUGGAAUUUCUCAGAGUAUUGGACUUGGGAUCUCUUGUUCUCAUCCAAUAUCCAUCCGGAAUUGAAAAUUUAUUUCUUUUGCAAUAUUUAAAGUUGAAUAUCCCUUCCCUCAAAAGCCUGCCUGCGCCAUUAUUAAGCAAUCUUCUGAACCUGUACACCCUAGACAUGCCCUUUAGCUAUAUAGAUCACACAGCAGAUGAAUUUUGGAAGAUGAGCAAGCUUAGGCAUCUAAAUUUUGGCUCAAUCACACUUCCUGCGCAUCCAGGAAAAUAUUGCGGCUCUCUGGAAAAUCUCAAUUUCAUUUCAGCCUUGCACCCUUGCUGCUGUUCUGAAGAUAUAUUGGGCAGACUGCCUAAUCUUCAAAAUCUCCAGAUACGGGGAGAUUUAAUUUUUUAUCAAUCUUUGUUGUCCAAAAGCCUCAGCAGAUUGAGCUCCUCUUGAGUCAUUGAAGCUGGCAAAUGAAAGCAAGAUGCCACGGCUCUCCAAAAUAGUCCUUGCUGAAUACCUAUUUCCUCAUAGUCUAACCCACCUGAGUUUUUCUGAUACUGAACUAAUGGAUGAUCCCAUGCCGGCACUAGAAAAGCUGCCGCUUCUUCAAGUGCUCAAACUGAAGCAAAACUCAUAUUCAGGUAGAAAGCUGACUUGUGGCUCUUAUGGGUUUCCGAACCUCAAGGUAUUGCACCUAAAAUCAAUGUUAUGGCUAGAGGAGUGGACUGUGGGGAUUGCAGCCAUGCCAAAACUAGAAUACUUGAUUAUCAACCCCUGUGCUUACUUGAAAAAGAUUCCUGAACAGCUUUGGUGCAUAAGGAGCUUAAACAAUUUCGAGUGUUGGUGGCCUCAGCCGGAGCUGAGACAAAAGCUACGGGAAUUCGAGGAUAAGGAGCAGCAUGGCGUUCGGCUAUAUCCUUACGGAAUUUGAUUAGCCCUCAUUGAAUUUGAUGUAAGUUUCUCUUUUUAUCCAAUUUCUUCCACUUUUAAUUAUUCAUCCAAUUUCAUGUACUUUUUUGCCCCCUUCUCUUCAAUAUAAAAAUGGUUAUAAAAUUGUUUUCUUCUAAUUUGUCUCAGCAUUAAGUAGCCUCUAGAGUUUUCGAUGCUCACCCCAAUCAUUAAGCCCUCUUUAGCAGCAGUGGAGACUUAUGUACCCUUGUAUGUUCAACUAUGGGCCUAGCAGACAUUGGCGUUCAUUUGUUUUGAUAGUUAAGAGUAAAAAAAAAAAGAGUAAUAUAAAACUUUUUUGUCACAAUGACUUGUGUAGGUGAAAUCAGAGCAGAAAUUAUCAUCACUACAGAACGAGUUCCAGUUUCAACCAGAAUCCUUUCAGUCUUUACUUUCUGCUGUCUAUGCAAAUAUCCUGAUGCUACAGUGGACAUUUUUUGGUUUCUUUGUAUCUUCUUUCUACUCAUAAAUAAGAAAUUUUGUUUCAGAUUUUCAGUUGAGAGUUGAUUGAUUGGUGCUUCAGCCAUGGUUGGCUAAAUGUGUGCAAAAAAAUAAAUAAUAUUUGUGAUAGCCUUUCUAGUCUUGGAUUCAGUGGAAUGUAUUGUCUGUCUUUGCUCUGUUGCUUGCUUUGAAAUCCUGUUUUUAAGGCAUGUUUGACACUCAAUAUGUUUGGUUUAUUUUCACAAAAGAUUGAUUAUUCAUGAACUUCAUACUUGGUUGACUCUCUUAGUAAAUGUUCUUGUGAAGAAAUCCUAAGAUCCUCUUAGGCAUUACAAUAAGGCCUUUUCCUUUUUUUCUUUUUUUUCCUAUGAUGAAUUGUGUGCACUACGGUAGACAUAUCCACUUAGGCAGUAAAAAGAUUCUAGUAAUAUUCCUCAUUUGGCUCUUUUUUUCUUUUCUUUUUUUUUAAAUAGUUUAUUAUGAUGUUAAAGAGGUGUCUAGACAUUGAGUGGAAGAAGAAAAUCCUGCCCAAUGCUUGAGGCUUAUUUGAACUCGGUAAAACCAGCGUCAUAGAUGUGAUAUUUUUCUCAUUCCAAGGUAUAUGAAAUAUAUUAUAGACUUAAUAUUUAAUGAUCCUGAUCCUAAAAAAUAUUUAAAUGAAGAAUUAUUUGAAGAAUUAUGUAAUAACAAUGAAUUAACAAAUGACGAGAUAGACAGAGAAUUAUUAAAAAAAUUUAUAUUACCGAGACCGAAUUGCACUUCAUUACUUACGCAAAGAAAGUUGAAGUUUGGGCUAUGUGCGUGGGACUGGAACGAAGAAUGGUAGCAAAAUGAUUACAAGAACUGCCAUUUAUAGAGGCAUUUUUGUCACUGCUGCACUGACGUGUCCCUCUAAUGGAUUCAAUAAGUUGAAGCCACGUUCUUCUGGAAGCAAUAAGAGGCUAGAAAAAUACCGUAUUUUGUGUGUGUGUGUGUGUGUGUGUGUGUGUGUGUCCAUGCAUUCGAGAAAGCAAUUAUGGGUAGCAUAUCCUACAGCAUAUGGGUGAGCCUCUACGAUUUGUUUUGCAGUGAAGAUUUGAUACGAAAUGGAUACAUAAAAUAUUUUGAGUCUUUUAACACGAUUUUCAUCCACAUCCGUCUAAUAACCGGUCUUCAUUGCUCCAGCUAGAUGUAAAGAGUAAGCAGCUACAACGUACUUGUUCUACUUAAAUUAAGUGAUGAAAUUUGGUAUAGGCCCAAAAAAAUGUAGAAAUUUAAUUUGGUUUGUUAGCAUUAAUUCCAUUGCUUGGCUAAUUUCCUUAACAUGGAAUGAUUGAAUAAAUUUUUAAUUUUUCGCUUUCAAAGAGGUUAUUGGAUUCGUUUGGAGCUAAAUUAAAAAGGAUAUUUAUGGACCAGUUGAAAGCUGACAUAAGGCUCAAGAAUAAUAAGUUCGAAAUUAAUCAGUGAAAAAAAGUGACAUCUCGACUAUCCCACGUGAGCUAAUAAAAGAAAAAGAUAGUUUUGGUAAAAUUAGCUCACUUAGAAUGACAAAUCUUGAAUAAGAUAAGAGAACAAGAAAAAAUUAUUUGUCUUCCAGCUCGAGAACAAGGAAACAAUAGAAAAUCAUAUAUGCAUAAAUAUCUGGUCAGUAAAAAACUCCUCAGCAUCUCUAUAAUUAAGGCAGCAAUGCUUCAUAGUCAACAAGCGUAACGUGAUCAAGGAUCCAAAUGAUAAAAACCACUUGUAGCACGAUGAAAGUGCCCUAUGGUACCCGUCCUAAAUAUAUUCACUUAAAAGGGACAUAAGAAGGACUCCAUUUUUCUUUUUCUUUCUCUUCAACUCUAUUGAGCUCGAGUCACAACUAGUAAUUGAUUCAAUUAAAAUCAGAAAAUUCAGUGAAAAAAAUAACCAACCAUAAGUUGAGAUGUCCUGUUUAUUUUUCUCUGCUUUAUUCUUUUUACACCAUAUGGAAGACAAGAGUAUUGUAAGAUUCUGCUUUGAUCUGUUAUAAUUUGAGAGUCAACGACCUUGAUUCAACUUCUUAACUGGAGAACUAGCUAAGAGAAGGGAGGUACGGGAGCCAACACUAAUGUUUGAAUUGAGAGCUUUAAAGCAUGUUUUCCUUUUAAUUAUUUCUUUGCAUGCUACAGGACUGAUUUCAGGGUGAAUCUGAGAGAGGAGGAGAUAUGGACAUCAACUUCAGACUAUUUUCCGAGAGGCUGGGACGGGUGUUAGCUGGUGAAGAAGUCACGUUGUCUGAUGCUGCAAAACAACCUAUUCAGAACCUUCAUGCGGAGGUUGAAAUUGUUACUUCUUGGUUGAGUGAAUUUGAAUAUGACAUCUCCUACAUUCUGCUGCAAAAAAUAGUAGAAGAUGAAAUUGGAAACCCAGAUCUGGCGACCGUUAUGGACGAAAUCAAUUGCUUUACCUGUGAAUCUGAGAAGGUCAUUGACACAUUCAUCAACAGCAUCACUCAACAGAAGAGUCAAAGCGGCUGCAGCGAGGACAUUUUUGAUGCUCUGCAAGGACUCCAAAGUAGAAUCACUGAUAUUAAGCAACGGAUGCAACAACUUAAGCACAUGGAUUCCAUAAUCAUUGAUCGCAUCUGAAGCCGGUAUAUCUUCAUCUUCUAAAAGUAGGGACACGGUGGGUCUAGAUGAUAGAAUGGAGGAGUUGUUAGAUCUAUUGAUCGAGGGACCACCUCAGCUUUCCGUGGUGGCCAUACUUGAUAGCAUUGGGUUGGACAAGACGGCUUUCGCCACAGAGGCUUACAACAGUAGUUAUGUGAAGCAUUAUUUUGAUUGUCACGCUUGGAUUCCAGAUAUUAGUUACGCUGACCAAAUAUUAGAUAUCGUUAUUAAGUUUCUGAUGCCUUCAUCUAGGUUGAGUGAAAUCAUGGAUAAAAAUUAUGAAAUGAAAAAAAUAAUUCUUCAUGAAUAUCUAAUGACCAAGCGGUAUUUGAUUGUGAUUGAGGAUGUAUGGACCAUUGGUGUGUGGGAUGUUAUUCGAGAAAUACUUCCGGAUAAUCAUAAUAGAAGUAGAGUAUUAAUAACACUCACUCAAAUUGAGAUGGUCACCUCAUUUAAGCUCGAAGAUGGAGAGAACAUUGGGCUUGAUUUAGUGCUCACUGGAGGACCAUUGAGAGCUACAUAUAAUGGAUGGACUUUCCUCAUCUUAUAUCAUGGAAACAUCUCAUUAGAAGAAAAUAUAGGGAAAGCAGUGGGGAUACCCCUUGUGCUUCGGCACUUCAAAUAUUGCAGCUUACCUUUUUGCUUGAAACUUUGUUUUCUCUACUUAUCUGUGUUUGCCGCACACCUAGAGAUAUCCACCAGGCAGUUAUAUCAGUUGUGGAUAGCUGAAGGUUUCAUUCCAAACAAUAGUGAGGCAACUGCUGAGAGUUACUUGGAACAACUUAUCAAGGAAGGCUUUGUUGAAGCAAAGAAGAGAAAAGCCGGAGGCACUAUCAACACAUGCUCUAUUCCUGGUCGUUGGCGUCCCGUGCUUCUCACAGUUCAUUAUAUGGUGGAAUUCAUCGUUUCCCCUUUCAUGGAUCCAAAAGGUAAAUCACCAAAAAAAGUCAAACGGUUAAACGCUGUUAAAAGACAGGAAGAUUUUGCUUACUUAGAUUAUUAUGACUCGCAACUGCAUUCUUUGUUGUGCUGUUCUCCAGAAAGCCGCCACUUUGACCCCAUGGAUUGGGAGAAAAUUUGUGGAAUGUUCAAACUUCUCAGAGUGUUGGACUUGGGAUCUCUUGUUCUCAUCCAGUAUCCAUCCGGAAUUGAAAAUUUAUUUCUUUUGAGAUAUUUGAAGUUGAAUAUCCCUUCCCUCAAAAGCCUGCCUUCCUCAUUAUUAAGCAAUCUUCUGAACCUCUACACCCUAGACAUGCCCUUUAGCUAUAUAGAUCAUACGGCAGAUGAAUUUUGGAAGAUGAACAAACUCAGACAUCUAAAUUUUGGGUCAAUCACACUUCCUGCGCAUCCAGGAAAAUACUGUGGCUCUCUAGAAAAUCUAAAUUUCAUUUCAGCCUUGCACCCUUGCUGCUGUACUGAAGAUCUAUUGGGCAGGCUACCUAAUCUUCAAAAUCUCUGAAUACGGGGAGAUUUAAGUUAUGAUCAAUCUUUGCUGUCGAAAAGUCUCUGCAGAUUGAGCUGUCUCGAGUGAUUGAAGUUGGCGAAUGAAAGCAAGAUGCCACGGCUCUCCAAAAUCGUCCUUGCUGAAUACCUAUUUCCUCAUAGUCUAACCCACUUGAGUUUUUCUAAUACUGACCUAAUGGAUGAUCCCAUGCCGGCACUAGAAAAGUUGCCGCUUCUUCAAGUGCUCAAACUGAAGCAAAACUCGUAUUUAGGUAGAAAGUUGACUUGUGGUUCUGAUGGUUUUCCAAGGCUUAAGGUGUUGCACCUGAAAUCAUUGCUAUGGCUAGAGGAGUGGACUAUGGGGACUAGGGCCAUGCCAAAACUAGAAUGCUUGAUUAUCAACCCUUGUGCUUACUUGAAAAAGAUGCCUAAACAACUCUGGUGCAUAAAGAGCUUAAACAAGUUCGAUUGCUGGUGGCCUCAGCCAGAGUUGAGACAAAAGCUACGGGAAUUUGAGUAUAAGGAACAGUGCGGCAUUCAACUAUAUCCUUACGGAAUUUGAUUAGCCCCCGUUGAAUUUGAUGUAUGUUUCUCGUUUUAACCAAUUUCUUCAACUUUUAAUUAUUUAUCCAAUUUCAUAUACUUUUUUUCCCUUCUCUUCAAUAUAAAAAUGGUUAUACAAAGGGUUUUCUUCUAAUUUGUCUCAACAUUAAGUACCCUUUAGAGUUUCCGAUGCUCACCCCAAUCAUCAAGUAUAUUAAAUUGACCACCUUCAUUUAUUUUCUCAAAACAAUACUAAAAGAAAAUUCUUUAAAAAAAAUUAGCAUAUAAUACCGAAGUUUUAUUGGCAAAUCGGCAAAUUCUAAUAUCAUUUAUUUAUAUCCUCUACCUCUUCCAAAUUUAAACUUGGAGUGAUUAAAAGAAUAAUAAUAAUAAUAAUGUGCUUAGAAAACCACAAACCAAGCCCUAUAUCAUCAUAUCAUAUGAAUUUUUUUACAAAUUAGUUAAUUAUUAAUAUUUUGAUAAUUUAGGGACUCUCAUUCAACCAAAGUUGGAUAGCUCUCUCUAAUGGGGAAGGUAUUCGCAUCCAACCCACUAUCUCUAAAUGUACCCGACCCAACAUUCGAGUCAUGGCUACGUGACUCAGGAGGGUUUUUUAUUUAAAUAUCCCUAAUUUAUCUUUAAAUACCAAAUUUAUACCCUAUUACAUAUAUAUACCUCACGAAGAUAGGAAAAGUAAAAAAUAACCUUAAAAAAACUAAGAAUCCACACAUUUCUUCCUCUUAGUGCAGGAAGAAGUCGAGUACGAAGUCGAGUAAGUCGAGAAUUUAGUCGAGUAAGAAUUGGUCUAGUAGGAAGUCGAGUAAGCAUAUUAAAUGAGUCGAGUAUUAAGUAAAAGUCAAAUAAAUUUUUUUAACAAGUCGAGUAAAAUAUAUGUAAUUUUUAAAGAGGUCGAGUAUUAAGUCGGGUAAGUACAUUGAGUCGAGUAUUAAUAUUUUUAAAAAAGUGAAAUCUGGUAAGUUGAGCAUUCAAUCAAGCAAGAAGUGAAGGCAAUUGAAAAAGUCGAGUAUCUAGUCGAGUACGAAGUCGGGUAUGAAGUUUGGUAAGUUGAGCAUUCAGUCGAGUAAGAAGUGAAGGCAAUUGAAUAAGUCGAGUAUCUAGUCAAGUACGAAGUCGGGUAUGAAGUCUGGUAAGUUGGGCAUUCAGUCGGUAAGAAGUGAAUGCAAUUAAAUAAGUCGAGUAUCUAAUUGAGUACGAAGUCGGGUAUGGAGUAUGGUAAGUUAAGCAUUCAGUCGAGUAAGAAGUGAAGGCAAUUGAAUAAGUCGAGUAUCUAGUCGAGUAUGAAGUCGGGUACGAAGUCUGGUAAGUUGAGCAUUUAGUCGAGUAAGAAGUGAAGGCAAUCGAAUAAGUCGAGUAUCUAGUCGAGUACGAAGUCGGGUAUGAAGUCUGGUAAGUUGACCAUUCAAUCGAGUAAGAAGUGAAGGCAAUUGAAUAAGUCGAGUAUCUAGUCGAGUACGAAGUCGGGUACAAAAUCUGGUAAGUUGAGCAUUGAGUCGAGUAAAAAGUCGAGUAAGUAGAUUGAAUGAGUCGAAUAUUAAUUUUUUAUUGGUAUUUUAUUGAGGCUAUUUUUGUACUUUCCCUAAUUUAUUUAAGUAUGUAUGUGUAAAGUUAUAAAUUUUAAUAGAUUGAGGUAUAUUUUAGGUAUUACGAAGGAAACGGGAUAUAUCCCAUGCAAUUCCAUCGACUCAGGCUACCUCGAAAUCCUCAACACCGCCACAACCACGUCGGCCACCGCCGUCACAACAGCCUCCACCAAAGAAACAGCCACAGCCACGACCAUAACUCACAGCCUUUUACAUUAUUUAUACACCUUUGUCGCUCUUCUUAUCGUCAACCCUUUUGCUAAACUCACCACUGAUGAUUUCUCAGCCAAGACCCCAUCUUGGACCCGUGAGUUUAUUGGGGCUCUUGGGUCUUACUCGUUUCCCUCUUCCCCACACACCCUUAAGUUAAGAGUUCAUGAGAAUGUUAAACUUUAUGCCAGGAAUUCUGUUUUUUUGUUCAUCCUCUUCUUUGCUUGCUCUCUGUAAGAAUUUAGUUUCCUUUUCUGAAUGGUUUUUGUAUGUGGGUAUAUGAAUUUUGAACGAGAUUUUGGGAUGGUUUUGGAUGUGAUUAGAUUUAUGUGGCCUUGAUUGGAUUUUUAAUGAUAAUUUUGAUUUGCUUACCUGUGUUUGUAAGGGUUUCAAUCUGCUUAAAUGAAUAAUUAAGUAUAGAUUUUUUUUUUCUGGGUUCCAAUUGAUAAAUAACAACACUAUGAAUUUGCAAUUUUGCGUUGUUUUUUUUUUCCUGAGCUAGAGCAAGUGAUUUAUGAUACAUUACUCGUUACCCCUAUAUAUGAAUGUGUGCACUUUUGCUUCUAUACUUGUUCUUGCCUUCUCUGGAUGAGUGUUGCUUUAAACUUUCCUUAGCAAGUCUUUCCAUUAUACUACAGUCUAGCUGUUGAUAAAUAAUGGAAUUCUUUCCUCGUCUUCACGGUAGUAAUUACAUCUCAUCUUUGCAGCUACAUUGGUUGUUCUUAUGCUCCUGAAUGUUCAUAUGGCUCUAUUCUGUGCACUUGCUAUAAGUUAUAUUGGUAAAUAUUAGAAACUCUUCUUCAUCUUUUAUGAAUGUUGCCUUUGCUUAGAGUCAGCUAACAAUUAGUCUACUGCUUUGUAGUUAUGAUUUUGCUUGCUGCAUUUCAUAAGCUCUCUCCUUCAAAGCAACCUUCUCGAAUAAGAUGAAAAUCAAUUUUCCAAACGAAGGUUCCUCAUUGAAGAAAUUUAAAGAUUCGGAAGCAACUAGCUGAUAUGACUUCUACGGAAGCAAUGAAGAAGAGGGUACCCUAUAAAAGAUGAGAAAUUACUGCAACAAAACCUCCCAAGGGAGUGACAUAAUCAUAUUGGUGGUGUACUCCACUCGGGCACAAUCCAUAGUCAUUUUGUCACCUCAAGGGGAGGAAAUGACUCCUGCAACAUGUAAGAAAACAUAAUCAAAUUGACAUAACAAUAAUUCCAAUUAUACCGUUGUGAUAGAGAGAAAAAGGAGAGCAAACAAACCUGAGUUUUCUUUAUCCAAUUGCAUUGCUCGCCCAUUUUAACUUCAUAGCGCGGUGUCUCUUUCGAGCCAAUGGAAUUAGCAGCAUUUAAUAUGCACUCAUCCACGUCUUCGCAUUCAGGAAAUAUGGAAUAAAUAUAGAUCUGCAUAAAAGCAAUCUGUAAGUAAUACUUAAAACAACUAUAGUUUUUAUUCAGAAGCCACUCUACAUUCAACAAAAUCUAAGACCAGCUAGUAACAUUAUAAUGGCGUUUUCGAGGCACUCUUUUAACACAGAAAGAAGACAAUUUUCAAUUCCAUACCAAACAUUGAAAAUUUUGUGCUUAUUUAGUAUUAUUAUUAAUUUUUUCCUCUUGCUACCUUUCUAGCAAGUGAACCAACAAAGUCAACAAAAAUCUAAGGCUAACUGGUAACAUUACAUUGGAAAUUAGAAGCACAUUUUUAACACAAAUAGAAGCCAAUUUGCAAAUGGGAAAUGAGUUUCAUUUCUUGUUUAUUGUUGCUCUCAAGAUCCUUUACAAGACAUGAAUCAAUAAUCAAAGAAAAGAAAAAAGAAGAAAUUAAAAACUAAAGUUUCAACCUCAUCAGAAUUCUCAUCAGCAUCAUUAUCAUGUUCAUCCACGCUUGUAGAACUUGCACCGAAACAUAGAAGAGCUUCAGAAAACAUAUCCUGACAACACAAGUUAAGGCACCUCAAUUUUAAUGCCAAAUAAUUACUAAUUCAAAAUGCUUAAAAACACAGACAAGUAAAAAAAGUGAAACUCACUAAGGCAUGUUUUUGACAGCAAAUGCGAACUGAGAGAUAAGAAGAACGGGCUAAAACUUUUAUGAGAACGGAAGAGGGUGCUGUUGAUUGGGUUCUGGGUUUUUGAUUUAUGAGCGGAAAUAGAUUCUGAUGGCGGGUGAGUUGUUUGUACGGAGGACGUUUGAAGAAAUGACCCAAUGAGAAGAAUGACAUUUCUAAAUUCUGCUCUGCUUUACAAAGAUAGUUGUUUAUCUGAGAGUGGGUCUUCGACUCGCAGAGCACUCAAAUAAUUUAUUUUCUAUCACAAUUUAUUUCCCCUCCCUUCUGAGUAGGAAUUAGUGCUGAUUUUCGAGCUAUCUUCCCUAUAAAACUCUCAACUAUUAGAACAAUUGAAAGAAAACAUAAUUAUAUAUUAACAUAAAGCAGCAAGUCAAUUAGAUUAGAUUGUUUGAUUACAUUGGAUCAAAUAAGAAGACGGUACCUAGAUUCUGUAAGGUACGUCCAUCCAAAAUAAGUAAAAUAAAGGUGGUCUUAAGUGAGACACGCUCCAUUCUUAUUAGAGAGGUGUACCUCACAGAAUCUGCAAGGUAGUAAGGUCCAUCUAAUAAUUUGAUAUUGUUUAACCUAUAUGCACAUUAAUGAAAGCUAUCGGCACCCUCUAAGACCUUCAUAGAACCCUGUGUUUAAAACUUGCAGAACUACAAAAAGAGAAUAGAGUGGAGCUAUUGGCACCUCCAAAAGAAUUCUUAUAUCUUAAAUUUAUAUUUUUAACUUUAAUCAAAUCACGUUUGACUAUUCAUCUAUCUUCCUCUAACCCCACAUGGGUUUUAUUUUUAUUAAAUAAAAGAUAAUUUUGUUGUUUUAGUGAAAAUGUUUUUUAUUUUUAUUUUUAUUCUUAAAUUAGUGGUUUCUGUUGGACUGAAAUUUUAGUUCAUUAUUUUCAAAUUAUGAAAGGCUUAUUUUUUUAUGGCUACUUGUUCUCUUGAUUUUAUCAAUUUACGUGUUCAUAUAAAAGUAUGUGAAUUGUCACAUUCAGAGUAUAAAAUAAUAUUGGAUUAGCUUCAAACAAUCUUUUUUAGUAUAAAAGAAAUAUUUAUUUAAUUCUUUUUUCUCUCUCUCAUAGUAAAGUUAGUGAGAAAGAAGUGUACAAGGACGUUUGUGGAAUUAAAAUAGAUCCACUCAAGAGGAUGGCCUAGAAUAUUUCUUAUCUAGUUUUUAGAUUCUACUUUCUACUAGUUUAACUUACUUCAUAGUAAUGUUUUGAUAUCUUUUCCCAUGGAAUGAUAAAAUAAAGUAAUAAAAUGAAUUCUAUAUUAUAAGAAUCUCAUUUAUAUAUAAGAAUAAGAAUAAAAACUUGGAAAAAGAAGCUCAAACAGUUCUAAAUUGAAAAGUUGAUUCUCAUGGACCGAACAAGGGCUUCAGAUUGAAUUGGUGAAAAGGUUUUGUACUAAAAGAUUUUUGUUUUCAUAUGAUUUUUUAAGAAAAAAGAAUAUAUAAGGUUAUUUGUGGAAUUAACAUAGGUGUUGUUAAAAGUACUGUGAUUUACAUAUGUUUUUAAUGGUGUAUUUUUAGAAGAAAGGUUUUAUGAGGAGUUUAAAGUGGUGCUAAUAGUUUCACUUAUUGACAAAUGGGUCAAAAAACAUCUAAAAACUUCAAAAACCUUUCAUAAUACCUGUAAUGGAACACAAAAUAGUUAAUUAUACUUUACAACUCAAUUUUUAAAAAAAACAUUUUACAACUCAAAAACACACUAGAGGAUCUUUAAUAUUUCUUAGUUUACUAUAAGAUACUAUUAGUAUAUAUAACAAAAUAAGAAUUUAUUGAUUGAUACCAUAUAUUUCAUACAAAUGAAGUGGAAAAUCUUCCACCUGAUAGAAUAUAUAUAUCAUAUGACAAGUUACAUACAUCUAAUUUUCUGCAUGCAUAUGGAACAAAAUUAAUUGUUUCAAUUUCUAAUUUGUCAAAUUGAGGUCUGAUUUCUGAAUUUUUUAGUUGUCAAAUGGAUUAAAUUUCCCCCAUAUAGGAUCCAGCUAUCUUGCAUCAUGACUUUGGUACCCUAGUCCUUUGUCUUAUAGCGAAUGAGCCUUUAGAAUGUGAAGAAAUGUAUCUAACAAUUGAGAUUUAACAUUUGGAAAAUGGGUAACCAGCUGAAGGCGUAGCACCUGUAAAUCAAAAAAAAAAGUUUGUACGUGUAAGCAUCAUUUGCGAUUUUUCCGACGGAUAAAGUUUAUAGGCGAUGGUUCUUAGCAUUAUUGUCUUGAUACUGUUUUCUGAAAGCUAUGAUGAAGUAUUGAAUCUUCUUAAUCUGGGUUUUGUUUGAGAAAAAGAAGGUUUUCACUUAUAAGUUUAUCGUGACAAACAACUUUUGCUCAUAAUCACCUAUAACACCAUACCAUUGCCUAUAUUCAAGCCACAAUACUAGUUGCAACCUUCUUAAAUAUUCAUUCAAGUAAAAUAAUAGCAAAAUUAAGCCUAUACAAAAAAUUGUAUUCUUUGAGGCAUUUAGCAAACAUUUGUAUUGUCAUAUUUAACAAACUUAUUUCCAUAAGCAUUUUAUCAAUUUUCAUUCCUAGUUCAAGCUUAAUGUUACAAAACUAAUCGCUCAACAAGAUCUAACCUAUAAUCAUCAACAAUUAGUACUAAAACAAUAAAUCCAUUAUCCAUUUAAGAAUUUGGACAUAAACUCAGCGAACUAACUCAAAUUAAAGAGGCCGCUCUUGCUGGAAGUAGCCAUUGUCGUCGCGGCAUCGAUUAGCCGUUGUUGUUGCCAUUAAUUUAUUUGCUUGAUCAAAAACUGCUGGUUUAGAUUUUUGCUGGAAGUAGCCAAUAAUUCAUAAAUUUUUAGGUUAAUUUUUUUAAUUUCCCUAUGCUCAAUUACCAAUCUAGGUGACCGGCCCAUUAUUUGUUUUUCUAGUUACUCCUAUUUCUCUGUGUUUCUUUUCUAGCCAUCAGAUGAAAUCCAACGGUGACUUUGGUAAAUGACAAAUGAGUGGUGUACAAAACCUACAAUGCAAAGUAGUUUUGGCCUCCCCAUAUAUACUGUCUAGAGAAACUCAUGAAUCUAAACGAACCAAACCCAUAUUAAAUUUAAUAAUAUCAUUAUCCUCAGACUCUCAGUUUUUCACUUUUGCUUACAUAAACAUUGUGGAACUUAAACUUAAAUCCACAUUUUUCAUCACUCUCUUGGUGGCCUCAUGUUGUUCCUUAAUCUUCUCUUCCUCAUCUUUUUAAUGCAUGCAUAAUUAACUAUAUUUUUGUUUGUGUUCCUGGACGCAAUUCAAUGUGUUGUUGAAGAGAUUAAAGCUUGUAUUGCAAGUUCUAGUGAUAUUUUGGAUGCUGAAUUGCAAAAUUUGUAACGUUACAAUCUUUGUUUCAUUUCUUACAUCAUAUGUCAAAUAAAAGUAUCAACUAAGAUUGCUGCCUCUCUUCUGAUGUGCAUAUUAAAAUUGCAUGCAAAAAUUUACAAAUCAUCUCCAUGUGAUUGGUCCUAUUAUACAAUAUUGUACUAUACAUUUGGAGAAGUAUUUAAGGCUUGGAAUUAGGGAUGACAAAACAUUGGUUUUUUUUUUUCCAAAGGCAAGCCAAAAAGCUUGAAGUAUACAUUCUGUAUUUUUUUAAAAAACUUUUUUCAUUAUAUUUUACAAAUUUUAUAGUUUAUAAAAUUUAGUUUUUUCUUUGUUAGAUCAGGCUUUAAUAGUUGGGUUCAAAUAACUUAAAACUUUAAAUAUAUGCUAUAAGUGGAUUACAUAUAUGUAAAAAGUUGUAUUUUAAUUAAAGUAAUAUAGAUUUUUAAAAUUUUCAAUAUUUUUUGGGCUUUCUGGUUGGGUUCGGGCUUUUAAACCAAAGUCCAAGUCCAGCCAGAGUACUUAGAAAACAUGCUCUAGUUAGACCGGAUUUUUCUGUCAUUCCUACUUGGAAUUCGACUAUCAUUAAUUUCAUUGUUAUAUUUUUAACACUAAGGACUCAAAUGAAAAUAAUUACAAAUAGUUUCUUAAGAUGUAAUCCUUUCAAAAAGGUGAGGGUUCAUUUAAUACUGAUAUUUGAAUCAAAGAAUGAUACAAUGAUGACAAAACAAUUGUAAAUUUUAUUUACAGUAUUAAAUAAAAAAUUAUAACUAUUUUUGAAUUAACAUUGUAACAUUACACAAUUUACUAUUAUUUUUGUCACCCUUAUGUCACGGUUAGAACUCUUUAUCAUUUUGCAUUUCUUAAAAAAUAAUGCUAAAAAGAUCCCCAAAUUUCUGCGGGAUAUGGAUGUAGUUUUAAAAUGAAGAUAUAUUAAAUAUAAAAUUUUACAAAGGAUUUAGUACUUUCUCUAAAUCUCGUUGAAGAAAUAAGAGAGCAUCGGACAUGAUUAAUAAUGCAUAUUUAUUUGAGUAAUUCACAUUUAUAACCCUGGGAUACAAAUUUUAUCUGUGAUAUACAUACAUGCAAGUAUGUGUGUGAUAUGCAUACAUACUUGGAAACUUUGGUGCCUUCCAUGACAAUCAUCUUGUGGCAGUAAGGUCAAAGAUUCCAUUGCUUUUGCUUUCAAUGAACAGAGCUAGCAUACCAGACAGGGUUAGCAUUUUAUUAAUUGCAAGUGGUAGCAUAUUUAUUCAUUAGCGUCACCUUCCCCUCAUCUUCUCCAACCUUGCUGCAAGUGGUAGCAUAUUUAUUCAUCACCUACAUUGAUAAAGUUUUUUUCACGAGAAACAGUCACGGAAAAACUUGUGCAUGAUAUAGCAGUCAGUGACUAACUCCAUGAAAUCAUUAUUUGUCUUUAAUUUUCAUCGUACUCCUUAUUAAAAAAGUAUUAUGAUUACACAGUCAGUGUUUUAUAUUCACAGAAGACAAAAGUAAUGAAGUACUGCAAUUUUGGAUUUAAUUGCAACUUGUAUAAUUUAUUAUGCUCCAAGUCCAUAUCAAAUAAACCAAAACCCAAUCUCUUUUCUACAGCUACUUCCCCAUUGUACAUAUUAUCAAAAUUCUAUAAGGGAAAAUAUCCACCGUCCACCUAUUUUUUACACCUUUUUCAAAAAUACACAAUUCCUUCAUUUUUUAACUAGAAUCCACCUAAAGUUACAUUUUUUUUCACUUUUCCACUUCCGUUUGGAAUCCGUUAAGAAAACUAACGGAAACUUAAUAAAAUGACCAUUUUACCCCCAAAACGAAAAUUACAAUUUCACCUUAAAAAAUACCAAAAAUAAUAAGAUUUAAUGAUGAAUAUCAUUAUUGGUACUUUAAUGAAGUACAAAAAAAUCUUAACUACUAGAGAUUAUAACUCAAUUAAUAAUAAAACUCUACUUAUCUUAAAUUCAAUUGAUGAUUUGUGAGAUUGGGCUAUUUUUAAUACUACUGUUAUAAUUUAGCAUUCUAAUUACAGAUAUAUUUAUAAAAAAAACAUGCAUUUGAUGGUUAUGGAAUUAAUUUAUUUAUUGACCGAUGGGGAAAAUAAUUAGAUUUAAUCUAAUUAUUUUUUGUAAUUUUUAAGGUGAAAUUGUAAUUUUCGUUUUGGGGGUAAAAUGGUCAUUUUUUAAAGUUUCCGUUAGUUUUCUUAACGGAUUCCAAACGGAAGUGGAAAAGUGAAAAAAAAUAUAACUUUGGGUGGAUUCCAGCCAAAAAAUGAAAGAAUUGUGUAUUUUUGAAAAAGGUGUAAAAAAUAGGUGGACGGUGGAUAUUUUCCCAUUCUAUAAUAAAACAUCAUUCAUGUAUAGGAGAAACUAUUGACUAAACUAACAUGCUCACACUACUUGAGUGCUGAGAGAAAGAGUUGCGUCGGUCAACCUACGACCAAUUCCAUUCAUCAACAACAAAUGUUUCAGCGGACACAUAAAUAUUUGAAUUAAGAGCUAAGAAGUUUUAACAAUGAAUUUUUUUUUAAAACAAAGAUUCUGCCUUGAUAUGUUCUAAUUUCAGAGUCAACGAUCUUGAUUCAACUUCUUGACUGGAGAACUAGCUAAGAGAAGGGAGGUACGGGAGCCAACACUAAUGUUUGAAUUGAGAGCUUUAAAGCAUACUUUCUUCCCCCCCCCCCCCCCCCCCCCCUCUCUCUUUUUAACUAUUUCUUUGCAUGCUAUAGGACUGAUUUCGGGGUGAAUCUAAGAGAGGAGGAGAUAUGGGCAUCAACUUCAGACUAUUUUCAGAGAGGCUGGGACGGGUGUUAGCUGGUGAAGAAGUCACGUUGCCUGAUGCUGCAAAACAACCUAUUCAGAACCUUCAUGCCGAGACUGAAAUCGUUACUUCUUGGCUGAGGGAAUUUGAAAAUGAAACUUCCUGGCUUAUGGUGGAAAAGAUCGGAGAAGAGGAAAUUGAUGACCUAGAUCUGGCGACCGUUAUGGAUGAAAUCAAUUGCUUUACGUAUGAAUCUGAGAGGGUCAUUGACACAUUCAUCAACAGCAUCACUCAACAGAAGAGUCAAAGCAGCUGCAGCAAGGACAUUUUUUAUGCUCUGCAAGGACUCCAAAGCAGAAUCACUAAGAUUAAGCAACGGGUUCAACAACUUAAGCACAUCGAUCCCGAAAUCAUGGAUGACUUCAGAAGUGUUGAAGCUGAAUCCGGUUAUUUUCCUGCAUCUUCAUCUUCUAAGAAUAGGAACACGGUGGGCCUAGAUGAUAGAAUGGAGGAGUUGUUAGAUCUAUCGAUCGAGGGACCAACUCAGCUUUCGGUGGUGGCCAUACUCGAUAGCAUUGGGUUGGACAAGACGGCUUUCACUGCGGAGGCUUACAACAGCAGUUAUGUGAAGCAUUAUUUUGAUUAUCUCACUUGGAUUCCAGCGCCUUAUCAAUAUGACCCUGACCAAAUAUUAGAUAUUGUUACUGUGAUUCUAUUGCUUUUUUCUAUGUUGAGUAAAAUAAAGGAUAAAGAUUAUGAAAUGAAAAAAAUUAUUCUUGGUGAAUAUCUAAUGACUAAGCGGUAUUUGAUUGUGCUUGAUGAUGUGUGGAGCACAGAGCUAUUUGAUGCUAUUCGAGAAAUCCUUCCGGAUAAUCAGAAUGGAAGUAGAGUGCUAAUCACACUCACUCUAAUUGAGAUGGUCACCUCAUUUCAGUUCGAAAAUGGAGAGAACGUUCGCCUUGAUAUAGUGCCCACUGGAGGACCAUUGAGAGUUACCUACCAAGGAUGGCCUUUCCUCAUCUUAUAUCAUGGAAGCAUCUCAUUAGAACAAAAUAUAGAGGAAGCAAUCGAGGGACCCAUGGGGCGUCUAACCGUCAUAUCUUGCAAGCUACCUUUUCACUUGAAACUUUGUUUUCUCUACUUAUCUGUGUUUCCUGCACACCUAGAGAUAUCCACCAGGCAGUUAUAUCAUUUGUGGAUAGCUGAGGGUUUCAUUCCAGACAACAGUGAGGCAACUGCUGAGAAGUACUUAGAGCAACUAAUCAACAGAGGCUUUGUCGAAGCAAAUAAGAGAAGAACUGGAGGCACAAUCAACACAUGCUCUAUUCCCGGUCGUUGCCGUCCUGUAUUGUUAGCAGUGGCUUCCGAGGUGGAAUUUAUCUUUCUCUCGUUCAUGGUUUCAGAACGUAAAUCAAAAAAGAAUGUUAAACGGAUCAACGUUUUUGAUAAACAGAGUGAUUUUGUUCACUUUGUUGAUGAUGACUCGCACAUGCAUUCUUUGUUGUACUUCACUUCAAAAAGCGACCACCUUGACCCAAUAGAUUGGGGGAUAAUUUGUCUAAUGUUGGAAUUUCUUAGAGUAUUGGACUUGGGAUCUCUUGUUCUCAUCCAAUAUCCAUCUGGAAUUGAAAAUUUAUUUCUUUUGAGAUAUUUAAAGUUGAAUAUCCCUUCCCUCAAAAUCCUGCCUUCAUCAUUAUUAAGCAAUCUUCUGAACCUUUACACCCUAGACAUGCCCUUUAGCUAUAUAGAUCAUACAGCUGAUGAAUUUACUUUGCAUGCUAGGAAUACCGCGUGAUGAGACGGGAAGGGAAGGAGUCACGUUGCCCUAGGCUGCUAAACAACAUAUUCAAAACCUUUACGCAGAGAUACGAAAUCGUUACUUCUUUGCUGAGUGACUGUGGAUACAACACAGCUUGGAUUAUGUUGCGAUCAAAUGCUAUAAAAGAUCAAAUUGAUGGAGAAUUAGAAACAGAUCUUCAGCCCAUUAUUGAAUUAGACUGUUAGCUCUCUCAAAUAGACUUGCUAACAUCGUUCCAACUGAAAAAUGGAGAGAACAUUGGGAUUAAGUUAGUGCCUGCAGGAGUGCCACUAAAAGUUACCGACGACCUUUUCUCAUCUUCUACCAUGGAAUUGUGUCAUUAGAAAAGAAUUGGCUAGAUACUUGGCAUAUCUCUAGUGGGUAUCAAAUGUUUUCAUAUUCCACAUUUUAGGAUUCUAUACUGAUCUGAGCUACUACGAUUAUGUAAUUAUGUGUUAUUAUAUGAAAUAAAAUAAUGAAUAAAUCUUGAUUGUAUAUAAAUAAGAAUACACAUAUAUCAUAAGAUUCUUCAAAACCCAUAUAAGUUUAAAUUAUAAGAGGAUUUAAUACCAUUUCACAUUACCUUUUUCUUGAAAAUUUAAUUGUAUCAAUUGUGGGUAGCUGAAGGUUUCAGUCCAAACAAUAAUGAGUCAACUGCUGAAAAGUUCUUGGAACAACUAGUCAUGGAGCUUUUUGGAGCAAAAAUGAGAAAAGCUGGAGGCACAAUCAACGCUUGCUCAAUUCCUUCUCUGUAAAUUUGAACGCUUAAACACGUACCAUCAUCCCAGUUCCUUGCAGUCGCCCCAAAGCCCCUGCUUGCAGUAGAGGAAAAACGAUUCUGUAUAGCCAUCGGGACUCAUCGAUGAAACAGAGAAGAAAAUUUGAAACAAUCCAAGGUUUCAUAGAUCAAAUGAAACCCCAAGAUCAAUCAAGACCAAUGGAGACAAGAUCAAUGGAUGAUCUUGUACUUAGCUCUAAAACAAAUAAGUAAAACCAUCAAAGAAAUUGGAUCAAAACCAGCAGGUUUAGAUUGAUUAUUUAUGAAUGUUCGGGUUGGAUUUUUCUGAUAACCUCUAGAAAGAGUCAAUAUUGUUCAGGUUGGAUUUUUCUAGUAAUGUUUAGAAAUAUAGUCGACCCCAAUCUACUCAGAACUCAUUGUCGUCGAGCUAACCUUGUAAGUACAACCUGGAGCCUAUGUUGGCAGCCUGAUUUACAAGUAUGACCUGAGAUUUAUGUAAAUGACCUGAUUUAAGAAUACAACCUUAAGCCUAUAUAAGCGACCAGAAAAUUCACCAGUCCGAUCUGAAAGUGAAGAAAUCCAACCUCGAAAUUUAUUUGUCUGACUCGAGAAUUAACUUGACAUAGAAAGCUAUCGGUUGAGAUAACAUGGCCUAGUUUCUCAUAAAGUUAUGUGCCACGAUCCAUUUAAACCAUCUCCAACUGAUGACCAUGUGCAACUGCUGAAGAAAGUGGGUAGAAGUUAAAGGUGGUAACCACCCACGACCAAGGGCCUAUUUAAGCUAAAAAGGACAACUGAGGAAAGGGUUAGAAAAAUGAACCAAAAAUUCUAUAAGUUGCCUCUCUAAAAGUCUUAAGAUUCCCGACAAGAUUUUUAGUUUUCUUUACCGAAAAAAUUCCUUAAUUUUCACUUUUCACAAUUCUCCCUUCUCGUUUACCUUUUUCUUAUACACAAUUUCUGACUUAAUCAUCGGAGGGUCUACGCCGGGACCCCACCGGCGUAUUCUAACCGUGUUUUCUGGUUGUUAGGUAUAUAAAGCUGGGUUCAGACCGAUGUUUGAGCUUGGAUUCGCGUUGUAAUUCUCCAAAAGAAAACAAAUUCAGCUGUUGAGGUCAUUUUUCGGCAUCAACAUCUUGGCGCUAUCUGUGGGGAAUGGUGCGAAAAGCCAUACGUUUGAAGAUUUAAAAGGAGGAGGCUAUCGGAUUACAAAACAGCGAUAUAUGAUAAUGAUGGAGACAGGCAGACCUUGCGCCAAUUGGCGGAGGAAAUGAAUGCCACGACAGAUAAGAGAUGGAGAGAAUGGAUCGAGAGGCACAUGGCAAAAUUUGAGGAGAUGGUUAGGGGGCUGAUUAAUGCCCAAGUUAGAGGGGCUCAAGUUCGAGCUAGUGACCCAGGGAGUAGUGGAGCGCGAGAGAGGGAAGAGCUUGGUGGUGAACAGUAGAGCAGAAUGGGACUACCACAAGUUGGGGUACGACAAGAAAAUAGAAGUGUAGGAGAACAAGUGAAUGAGUUGAGAUACAGAAUCAAUGACUUGAAUCAAGAAAGAGAGAGGGAAGAGCUGAGAGACCCCCACCAGGCAAAUGAGCUUGAGCAGCGAAUGCUGCAAUUUUAAAAAACUUUAGAGGCAUUAAAGGCGAAAACAGAGGGCAAGCAAGUGGUAGGAAGGUUGUUACUUGAUGACAAGUCCCUCUUAGUACGUAAAGUGAUGGCGGUAACUUUGCCAUCUAAGUAUGUGGUUCCAGCCUUGGUGUAUGAAGGAAAAACUAACCCGAAUCAUCAUAUGGAGAAGUUUAAUAAGAUGACCGGGAUCCAAGGUUUGAAUAAUUUUCAAAGGUGUCGUGUUUUUCCUUUAACCUUAGAAGGACGAGCACGGGAGUAGUACCAGAGAUUAAAGAAGGGAAGCAUAGAAAAUUUCAAUGAGUUAUGUGAGCUUUUCGCUGUGCGUUUUAGAUGUUCAUGCAUACUAGAGUAAGAUACGAGUAGAUUGAAAAAAAUUAGUCCAACGAGAAUUUGAAAGUUUGAGGAGUUUUGUGACCAGGUAUCAUAAAGAGAUUACUGAUCUAGGGGCCUUUGAUCAUCCAGAUGCUCUAGAGGGAUUAAAGAAAGGGUUGAGAAUCAAUCGAUUGUGGAAUAACUCAUAUAGUAAGAGGAUAACAACAUAUACUGAGGCGUAUGACCAGGAAAAUUUGGAUAUGAAAAUUGAAGAUGCAGAGGAAGAAACAAGGAGAAUGGAAAUGCAGACAUGGGGUCCGAUGAGAAGGGGGGACCUGAGAAGAAGAUGAGAUAACUUUGGGUAUAGCUCGAGGAUGAACACGAAUGAUAAGCAUCAUUACGACAAAGGAUUGUUCAAUUAUAGACAACCAGAAAGGCCGGGUCAAAAUUAGGAAGGAAAUCAUGAAAGAAGAAAAUCUCAUUAGUAGGAAGGGGUCGAGAGGGAGGAAAUAAUUAUGAGAGGAACCAACGGGAGAGCCAAGUAUAAGAUUACAAUAGGUUGCCACCACCUGUAGACCGAAGAGGAUCGAGACCUGCUAAUGGGGUGAAUUUAUUAUAACAGAGUGGAAGAUACACACAACUAAACAUAAGCAAAGUAGAAAUAUAUGUUACAAUAAAAGAUAAGGGGUUACUAACACUGCCAAAGCCGAUUGUAGGGGGUUUGAGUGGAAAUGCUCACCACAAGUAUUGUGAGUUUCACAAGGUGACCGGACAUGGAACUGUAGAUUGCAUAGACUUGAAGGAACAAAUUGAAUGGCUAGUGUAAAAUCAAUAUCUAAAGAAGUAUGUGGAUGACCAAAGAAGAGGUGGGAGAAGAGAAGACAUUAGAGAUAAUAUAGCGAUGAUGAUUAUAGGAGGGCCGACCUUAGCAGGAGACUCAAACCGCUUGAGGAGAAAUUAUAGCAGAUAUUCACUAAAAAGUUUCGAGGUGAAUUUUAAUAUUCUGGCACUAAAGAAGCAGCGGAUUCACAAGGUGUCGAUCAUGUUCACGGACGAGGACGAGGAAGCGAUCGUACAUCCACAUGAGGAUAUGCUUGUAGUGAAGGUUGUCUUGGCAGGGCAAGAAUUGAAUCGAGCUUUUGUAGAUGGGGGAAGCUCGGUAGACAUUUUGUUUAAGCAAACUUUGGAUGAUCUACAAAUAGGAGACCUCAGGCUUGAUCCCGUCAGAACAUCGCUAAAGGAGUUUGGUGGAUUUGAGCUAAUUCCACUUGAGUUGAUUGACUUGCCGCUGACAAUAGGGUCCAACCCACUACAAAAGACAGUGAUAGUGACAUGGUUGGUAGUUGAUGAGCUUAGCCCUUAUCAAGUUAUUUUGGGCAGACCGUUCAAUAGGAUAGUAUGAGUAGUGAGCUUAACUUAUAUGCAAUGUGUGAAAUUUAGAGUUCAAGGUGGAGUUGGAGUGAUGAUAGGCCAACAAUAAGUGGCUCGAAGCUGUUACACUAAAAUUGUGAGAGAAUCCAUGAAGAUCACAAGUAUCGAUCCACGAGCUGAAAAUAGGUUAUGCCAAUAGCGACCUAAUGAAGAAAUGAAACAAGUACCAGUAAGUGAGGAUGAUCCGAGCAGAGUAGUAAGAGUGGGAACAAAGAUAACAGAUGACAUUUUUAAUGAGCUUCAGAAUUUAUUGGUGGAGUAUAAUGACAUAUUUGCUUGGAGACAUGAAGAUAUACUGGGAAUAAACCCAUGAAUCAUGUGUCACUAGUUGGCUAUAGAUAAAAAACAUAGGCCAAUGAAGUAGAAAAGAAAAGUGUUCAACCAGGAAAGGUAUGCGGCCAUCUAUAAUGAGGUAGAUAAAUUGUUGAAAGUGGGAUUUAUAAGGGAAGUGAACUAUCCAGAAUGGGUUUCGAAUGUGGUAAUGGUUAAAAAGGCGAAUGGAAAAUGAAGGAUGUGUGUAGACUUUACCGACCUCAACAAAGCUUGUCCUAAAGAUAGUUUCCCUCUCUCAAAGAUUGAUUAGUUAGUGGAUUCAACAAUCGGGCAUGACUUGAUGAGUUUUAUGGAUGCAUUCUCAGGAUACAACCAGAUUCGUAUGUCCACAGUAGGUGAAGAAAAGACAGCUUUUGUGACCGACCAAAGAUUGUAUUGCUACCAUGUGAUGUCGUUCGAAUUAAAAAAUACUGGAGCUACUUAUCAAAGGUUGGUAAACAAGCUUUUCAAGCCCUUGAUUGGUAAAAUGAUGGAGGUAUAUAUAGAUGACAUGAUAACCAAGUAUGUUGAGCAGGCGGAACAUACAACGCAUUUGCGUAAGACAUUUGAAGUGCUACAAAAGAUAAGAUGAAGUUGAUUUCGGAAAAGUGUGCCUUUGGAGUGGAAUCAGGGAAAUUUUUGGGCUUCCUAGUUAGUCAAAUGGGGAUAGAAGCUAAUCUGAAAAAAGUAGAAGUCAUCCCCAAGAUGAGGUCGCCGAAGGAUCUUAAAGAUGUUCAGAGCUUAGCUGGAAAGGUUACUGCGCUGAGUAGGUUCAUUUUGAAAUCAUCAGAGAAAUGCCAUCCAUUUUUUGAAUUGAUGAAGAAAGGAAAAAGAUUGAGGUGGUUGGAAGAAUGUGAGACAACAUUUCAACAAUUAAAGGCAUAUUUGGCCAAUGUACCCACUUUGGCUAAGCCCUUAGUGGGUGAUGUUCUCUUGAUCUACUUGGUGGUCUUAAAUUAUUCAACUAGCUCAGUCAUGGUAAAAGAAGAAGAUGAAGUAUAACAACUUGUAUACUACAUGAGCAGAUCUCUUACAGGGGCAAAAGUAAGAUAUCCUAUUGCAGAAAAGUGGCCAAUGGUUUUUGUUGUAGCUACAAGAAAGCUGAGGCCAUAUUUUCAAGCUCAUGAGAUCGUGGUAGUCACUAAUCAACAUUUGAGAUCAAUUUUUCAAAAAUAAGACAUUUCAGGAAGACUAGUUAAGUGGUUAGUAGAACUAAGUGAAUUCGACAUCGGUUACCAAUCGAGGUCAGCAAUUAAAGCACAAGCUCUGGUCGACUUCAUUAAUAAUUGCAGUGAAGGGAGUGAAGAGAUGGAUGCCGAGCAGGAGAUUAAAGAGGCAGAGAAGAAGAAUGAUGUAUGGGAGCUUAAUGUAGAUGGAGCUGCAAACCCAUAAGGGUCAGGCAGGGGAAUUGUUCUUGUUUCACCCGACCAGGAAGAAGUAUGCUACUCUCUCAAGUAUGAAUUCCAUCCUACAAACAAUGAAGCAGAAUACGAAGCUCUCAGUGCGGGUCUAAAAUUAGCAAGAGCAUUGGGAGUUUGGCAUUUGAAGGUGAAGAGUGACUCUCAACUGGUAGUGAACUACUAGAAUGGGACAUUUCAAGCCAAAAGUGAGAACAUGUCCAAGUAUCUGAGCAAAGCACUACUGUUAUGUGGUAGUUUUGAUCACGCUACAAUGGAGAAAGUUCUGAGGGGAAAGAAUUACUGAGCAGGUUAUAUAGCAAGACUGGCAGUUAUAGAAUGCCCAAAGUUCCAACGAGGAAUUCCAUUGGAGUCAGUUUCAAAGCCAAUAGUUAAUUCUGAAAUGAAAGUUUGUAUGGUAAAAGAUGAGAAGAACUGGAUGGUGCCUAUCAUGAGGUAUAUUGAAUUUGAGGAACAACCUCAAGAUAAAGCAGAGGCAAGAAGGCUGCGAUGCCAGGCAACACGGUACUCCAUUAUCGAAGAUGUGCUUUAUAAGAGAAGUUGCACUUUACCUUACCUGCGAUGUUUGGGCUCAGCUGAUGCCAACUAUGUGAUGAGAGAGGUGCAUAUGGGAAUUUGUGGAAAUCACAGCGGAGGUAUGGCAUUGGCCCAUAAAAUAAUAAGGUAUGGUUAUUUUUGGUCGACCAUGCAUGAAGAUGCACAAGAGUUAGUUCGGAGAUGUGAUGAAUGCCAGAAGUUCGUCGUAAUUGUAAGACAACCACCAGAAAACAUGAUGACAAUGGGGAGCACUUGGCCAUUUGCACAAUGGGGGGUGGAUCUUAUCAAACCAAUGCCAACCGGGAGAGGCCAAAUGAAAUACGCGGUGGUAGCCAUUGAUUAUUUUACUAAAUGUAUUGAAGUUGAGCCGUUACAAAAGAUAACCGAGAAGCGCACAACAUAUUUUAUAUGGAGGAAUGUGAUUUGCAGAUAUGGCCUACCGCAAGCUAUUAUCACUAAUAAUAGAACCUAAUUCAAUAAUGAGAAUUUCAAGAAGUUUUGUGGUCAGCUUGAUAUUGAACUUCGGUUUAGCUCACCUGCUCAUCCGAAGGCAAACAGACAAGUGGAAGCGGCAAACAAAACUAUAAAGCAAUUGUUGAAGAAAAGGUUAGGUGAGAAGAAGGGAGCUUGGGUGGAUGAGCUUUCAGGAGUACUGUGGGCCUAUAGAAUGACCGUGAAGACUUUAACGGGGGAGACUCAAUUCUCACUUGCUUUCGGACAUAAGGCAGUAAUCCCAGCUGAGGUUGGCAUGGAGACACACUGCACAAAAUAUUAUGAUGAGACAAUAAACAGGGAAUAUAUAUUGUUGGAUUUAGAUUUGCUUGAUGAGAAGAGAAAGUCGGCAAGAGGUCAAGUAGCAAUUUACCAGUAAAAAGUGGCUAAGUUCUACAACAAGAAUGUCAAGCUACGACAAUUUUAGGAGGGGGACCUGGUGCUCUGCAAAGUCAAUCAAUCAACCAAAAAGCCAGCUGAUGGAGUUCUAGGGCCGAGCUGGGAAGGACCAUACAAAGUACUACACUCAUUUGGUAAUGGCGCAUAUAAGUUAGGUUAUCCGGAUGGCAGGGUCGUCGGCAAGUCAUGGAAAGCAGAGCACUUACAAAAAUACUAUCAGUUGGCCAAUCCUAUUUAUGAUGUUCUUGUUUGUUUUUUUUUAAAUAUGUUAUGAUAGUUUUUUUCUUUGUUAUUUCAAUUCGUUAUGUGUUCAAUUACGUAAUUUCUGUCAUAUUAAUAUCAAUGAGGUUAUUCAGAAAUGCAACUUUAUUUCUUACCUACUUGUGACUGAUCUUCUUUGAGAUUGGCAUAUUUGAGCCUUAUUGAGGUCCAACAUAAAUUUUUAUCAAAUCUUAUUGAGAUUAAGAUCGACAUUUGGGCCUUGUUGAGGCCGAAUGUGAAAAUUUAUCCAAUCUUAUUAAGAUUGAGAUAAGCAUUUUGGCCUUAUUGAGGUCCAACGUGAAAUUUUUCAUCAAAUCUUAUUGAGAUUGAGUUUCGACAUUUAGACCUUAUUGAGACCGAACAUGAAAAAUUUAUCCAAGCUUAUUGAGAUUGAGAUCAACAUUUUGGCCUUGUUGAGGUCCAACGUGAAAACUUGUUGAGGUCAACUAUAACUAUAACAUUUAAGAUUUACAAUUUUCAACUCGUUGAGGUCGGCUAUAGCCAUAACAUUUAAGUUCUACAAUUUUCAAUUUAUUGAGGUCGACACUUUAGAUUUGUAAGGCCUAUGAUUGAGGUCGACAAUUUAGUUUUGUGAGGUCUACAAUUGAGGCCGACACCUUUGCGUUGUGAGGUCUACAACUUUGGUCGACAUUUUAGUUUUGUAAAGCUUAAGGUUGAAGUCGACACUUGCUUUGUGAGCUCUACGGUUGAGGUCGACAUUUUAGUUUUGUAAAGCCUACGGUUGAAGUUGACACUUGCUUUGUGAGCUCUACUUUUGAGGUCUACAUUUUAGUUUUGCAAAGCCAACGGUUGAGGUCGACACUUGCUUUGUGAGCUUUACGGUUGAGGUCAACAUUUUAGCUUAGUAGGAUCUAAAACUGAGGUCGACACUUUAGAUUUGCAAGGCCUACGGUUGAGGUCGACAUUUUAGCUUGGUAAGAUUUAUAGUCGAGGUUGACACUUUUACUUUGUGAGCUCUACAAUUGAGGUCGACAUUUUAGUUUUGUAAAGCUUACGAUUGAGAUCCACAUUUUAGUUUGGUAGGAUCUACAACUGAGGUUGACAUUUUAGUUUUGUAAAGCCUACGGUUGAGGUCGACACUUGCUUUGUGAGCUCUACAUUUAAGGUCGACAUUUUAGUUUUGCAAAGCAUACGUUUGAGAUCGACAUUUUAGUUUGGUAUGAUCUACAACUGAGGUCGACACUUUAGAUUUGUAAGGCCUACGGUUGAGGUCGACAUUUUAGCUUGGUAAGAUUUAUGGUCGAGGUUGACACUUUUGAGUUGUGAGCUCUACGAUUGAGGUCAACAGUUUAGUUUUGUAAGGUCUACGAUUGAUGUUGACACUUUAAAUUUGUAAGGCCUACGGUUGACGUCGACAUUUUAUCUUGGUAAGAUCCAUGGUCGAGGUUGAAGCUUUCGCUUUGUAAGCUCUACGAUUGAGGUCGACAAUUUAGUUUUUUGAGGUCUACGAUUGAGGUCGACACUUUAGAUUUGGAAGACCUACGGUGGAGGGCAACAUUUUAACUUUGUAAGAAUCUAUAAUGAGGUCAGCUUCGCGCUUCUUAAGGUCGACUUUCCAGCCUAGUUACAAUCAGCAAUAGCCUAAACAUCUUCAGUCUUGUUGUGGUCGGCAUUAGCUUUGUUAAAAAUUAGCGUCCAGGCUACGUAACGAUUAUCCGAAUACAAAAACAAAAUGAAAGCUCAACAAGAGUUAUCAGUUCGUAACAUUACAUAAAGGCAAGCCUUAUAACAACUUCUCAAAUCUACUUAGGAAGCAUGCUCUUCGUCUUCAAUAACUCUGCUAGUUAAAGAUGUCUCACCCUCAACUCUAAUCUCAUCACCCUGAAGAACUCGAUUUUCUUCUUGAUCCGUACUCGAUGACUUCUUCUUAGCCUUUUCUUUGCUCACAUAAGCAGUCAACAUCCAUUGAAAGUCCAUGUCCGGGUGUUGUUCUUGGAACAAUUCAAUGCAUGUCUAAAUGACAUCUGCCUUCAGUUGCCUUUUCUCUAGUCGAAUGCGUUGAUCAACAUCAGACUUAACUUUUUCCAACUCAUAGCUAAGAUCGGCAAUCUUGGAGUCUUUGCUCGCAUUAGAUUUCUUUUUGGCUACCAAGUCUUCUGCCAAGUGAGUAUUUUCAUCGUUGUGAGCAUUGAGGUCACGCUUGAGCUGAUCUCGCUCGCUUGCUGUCUUUUUGUUCGUGAGGUUGUCUUUCAUCAAAGCGCGCUCGACUUCUUCUAUUUUUGCAUGGCCUUUCAAUGACUUUGCAAACGUCUCGAUAUCCGCGGCCAUGAUCAAGGAUUGCUGUGAAAGAAAGCAUGAUGGUUAAGAAGAAAAGUAUAAACAUCAAAGAAAUAAAGAUUGUGAAUUAAUACCCACCUCAGCUUGGUUUCGAGCAAGCACUUCAAGAGCAUGAGUAGCUGACAAGUGGGAAAAAUUCUUGAUGGUACCCUGGCUCACAAAUCGAGCAGCUAAGUUCACCAUGGGUAGUAAGUCCUCCGCUCUUCCUCACUUUGACUCUAUGAUGUCAUUGCUUUCAAGCAAGCUUCCUUUCGGACAUAUCGGGGAAGAGGUAAGUGGUAAAAUGCGCAAGGGACGAGAGUCGCUAGCUCGGUCACUUUUGCUCUGAGGUAGCAUGUUGCAAGCUGAAACAGCAAGUUAUUUUUCUUUUUUCUCAUCAGCUUUGUUUUUCUGUGAUGCCCGCCAUGGUUUCUUACUAUGUGGUUUUCCUUUCUCGUUCGAUAUCUCCUUGAUCACGGCUUUUGCAAUUUCUGCAGGGGUACGCUUAACAGUAGACGUGUUUCCUGCAUUUAGCAAUCAUUUCUCAACUCUAGCACUCAGCUUGUCAUUUAUAUCAACUUUCUUCUUCAAAGUCACUGCAGUAAAAACAUGUGUUAGAUUGUAUCCUUAUUUCGACCUCAACCUGAACAAAACUUGAAUUACCUAGUCUACUAAAACGAGUGGGAAUUUUAAACCAACCCUUGGUCAGCUCUACAUCCCUACCCUAAUUUCCACCCACCACGAAAUACUUGUUUUUCCAACCUCUACAUGAGCUUGGAAAGUCAAGUACUAUUCUUCUACUAUUUGAUUUUGACAUAAAAUAGUACUAUCCUUUGUGAUUGAUCCCAUGCUCAUUACAAAAAUAUAAGUGAGUAAACUCCUUAAAACACGGCUCGGUUAUAUUCUGCUCAGCCCAUACAACAUACAUACCACCUAAAACCCUCCAGCCAUUUUGGUCAAGUUGACCUGGACUCAAACCCACUCUCACCAACAUUCGAGCAAAGUAAGGUUGAAUGAGCAACUUGAAACCAAGUUAAAAAAUUUCCAUUACCCAAUUUGCUUGCCACCUCAUCUUCGCCCAAUAACUUAAGUGUAAUAUCGUCUGCAAUAAGAUAUUCCUUCCUCAACUCUUCAAUCUCUUUCUCUUUUGUAUCAAAGUUUAGUCUUAUCAAAGUUUAGUCUAUUCACGCCAUAUUCUUCAUGCUCAUCUCCCUCAUCUUCAAAUUGUGCACAACUCGAUUCCUCAUUCACCUCAUUUCCGCGUCUUAUUUUCUUAGACUUAUUUUCGGCCACGUUACAAUUUAAUUCUACAUUAUCUUCCCUGACUUUUCCAUUAUCAUCUACACCCGAUGCAAUAUCACUAAGCCCGUCCAACAACUCCUUAUUCGCAUUUUGCGAAUCGCUACAAAGUGACCCAUCUUCACUCCUUAAUUCCAUUAUUACCUAAUGUUACAUUUAACAAAACCUCAUUUCCAGUCAAUAUUAACACCCAGUAUGUAAACAGCAAAUUACAAGCAACCUUUCAUUGUCAACAUCACAUCCAACACAAUACAAAACACAGCAACAAGCAAAUGCGCUUGGGAUGAGACAACUCACCGGAUCUCCUUUAGUCAUAAUGGAUUCCAGUUUUGCUGAUAGUCAACAAUAGUAACAUCAUUCAGCAUUGGUUCUACAUCAAUAAAAUGCAACAUUAGCUGAGAGUAGUUUAAAAAAAAGAAACACAACAAAGAGAAGAAGAAGUUUGAGUUUCGACAAUAACAAAGAGAGAGGGAGAAUGCAAAACAAAAAAAAAACAGAGAGAGAGAAACGCAGCAAAGAGAAGAAGAAGUUGAGUUGUGACAAAAACAAACAAAAAAAAGAGGCGAGUUCUGUUUAUAAAAAAAAAAAAGGGCGUUUGGUUUCAAUACACACAUAUAUAGAUCUGGUAUUUAUUAUAAAAAAAAGCACAACAGAAGAUGGCGCGCGAGGUACUCACUUAGGGAUGGCAAUGGGGAGGGGAGGGGAGGGGACCAAUCUCCCCAUACCCAUCCCCGAUAUUUUGCAUAUGUCCCCGUCCCCUCCCCGUCCCCGUCAGAAUUACUUGAGAGAAUCCCCAUCCCCUCCCCGAAUAAUAACAGGGGAUCCCCGAGGGUCCCCGGUCCCCGAAUAACUAAUAGUCUAAUACAUUAUUUUUAUUUUCGAUUUUAAAUUAAUCAUAUUAAAAUAAAAAAUUCAGAUAAAAAUAAAGUUCAAAAUAUAUCUUACAUUAAUAUUGAUCCAUUACAAAGUCACAUUCAAAAUAUAAAUUAUUAAAAUAAUUAUAAAACAAUGAAAAUAAUAUAAGUAAAGUAACUUAUAAGUGCAAAUAUUAAUAACUGUAUAAUAUAAUCACAAUGUAAAAUAAACUCAUACUGUUAUUGUAAGCUCGUAACCAACUUUGACAGCACAUUAAGGCCUCCAAUGUGCUUGGAUGAAGUUUGUUACGGUGUGGGCUCACAACUCUACCACCGAUGCUAAAAGCUGAUUCAGAAGCAACUGUUGUAAUUGGAAUUGUCAAAAUAUCUCUAGCAAUUCGAGCUAAUGUAGGAUACCUAUUAGCAUUUAAUAAUAUAAAUAUUUUGAUAUUUAUUAUUUUUAACAAUAUUUAUAAUUUUGUUAUUUAUUUAUUAGUAAUUUUAAAAAUAAAAAUAAAAUUAAAAAUUAAAAUGGGGAAAUGGGUAGGGGAUGGGGAUUCCACCUCAUCCCCGUCCCCUCCCCGCAUAAAAAAUUGGGUAAAAAAUUUUCCCCGUCCCCUCCCCGAAAAAAAAAUUGGGUAUAAAAUUAUACCCGUACCCUCCCCGAAUGGGAAAAAUCCCCGAGGGUACCCGUCCCCGUGGGGAUUUUUGCCAUCCCUAUACUCACUAACAUGUUUGAUUAUGGCUCUGUAGCGUCGUUGCUCAAUUUACCCAAAAAUCGCAGGACGGCGACAGCUCAAUAUUUCACUUUUAUUGUGAAAAAGUGUGGAGGAUGAGGACGAAACAGAAGCCCAAACGAAACAGAAGCCAAAAGGUAUUGAGAAAAGACAAAAUGUAUGUUUUCAAUUUGCCUUUAAGUCACGUGCUUAUGCUUUUUCUCCAUGGUCUCGCUUUUUUAUUUAUUUACUUUAUUCUUUAUUUAUUCCUUAUUUUUAUUUUUUAUUAUUAUUUUUGCCAAAUUCUUACUUUUAAGCCUAUUUUAACGCAACACUAUCCUUGUUCUACUUCACAUUACCCCUGUUCUGCUGGAGACCAUACUACGCUUUCUUCAUUGUUUCAGUUUCCAAUACCGUUCAUAUCUUCUCAGUACUGAAAACUAGGGGACUGGUGUUCAAUUUAUAAGAAUUUUUAUAUUUUUCAUUAAUUAGUGUCCAACACCGAAAAUAGCUUCCUGAUGUUGAAAACUAUGAGACUGGUGUUCGGGUUGGAUUUUUCUGAUAACCUCUAGAAAGAGUCAACAUUGUUCGGGUUGGAUUUUUCUAGUAAUAUUUAGAAAUAUAGUCGACCCCAAUCUACUCAGAACUCAUUGUCGUCGAGCUAAUCUCGUAAGUACAACCUAGAUCCUAUUUUGGCGGCCUGGUUUACAAGUAUGAUAUGAGAUUUAUGUAAAUGACCUGAUUUAAGAAUACAACCUUAAGCCUAUAUGAGCGACCAGGAAAUUCACUGGUCCGACCUGAAAGUGAAGAAAUCUGAUCUCGAAAUUUAUUUGUUCGACCCAAAAAUUAGCUUGACAUAGAAAGCUAUCGAUUGAGAUAACGUGGCCUAAUUUCUAGGAAAGUUGUGUGCCACAAUCCAUUUAAACUGUCUGCAAUUGAUGACCACGUGCAACUGUUGAAGAAAAUGGGCAGAAGUUAAAGGUGGUAACCACCCACGACCAAGGGCCUAUUUAAGCUAAAAAGGGCAUCUGAGGAAGGGGUUAGAAAAAUGAACCAAAAAUUUUAUAAGUCACCUAUCUAAAAGUCAUAGGAUUCCCGACAAUAUUUUUAGUUUUCUCUACUGAAAAAAAUCCUUAAUUUUCAGUUUUCCCUUUUCGUUUACCUUUUUCUUAUACACAAUUUCUAACUUAAGAAUCAGAUGGUCUACGUCGAGACCCCACAGGCGUAUCCUAACCGUGUUUUCUGGUUGUCAGGUAUAUAAAGCUGGGUUCAGACCGACGUUUGAGCUUGGAUUCGCACUGUAAUUCCCCAAAAGAAAACAAAUUUAGCUGUUGAGGUCGUUUUUCGGCAUCAACAAUGAACAUCAUACUUGCCACACUCUUGCGUAUAAAUCCUUAGAUUUACAGGUCUUAUAUCACAUGAAUGAAGAUGCUAGUGGUGUGCCUCCAUGGAGCUCUAACUCAAUAGUUUUCAAGUAGUUUUAUUUAGCUAACCACCUAAGUUUGAGUUGUGGUGAGGAAAGAUGAUAAAAAUUAAUUUGAUCUUUGCACCUCACUACCUUUAAAAGAGUUCAAACUUCUAACUCGGUUUUGAAUUUUAAUUAUUUUAAAUUGAAAUGCUAAGUCCAUAUAUUAUAUAUAUGAGUUUUUUUUUUUUUUGCCCAAGGUUGAAUUAAACUAUAUAUUUACGAAAGUCUUGAGAUACAUGAUUUUCAGGAUUUAAUAAAAUCAUAUGUACUAGCUAUAUAUACAUCUUAAUAAAUGUUUGCCAGACCUUUAUUUGUACUAAAAUUAUACAUAUCUAGACUCUCAUUACACUUUAGAUUGUAACAAUUUAAAUAUUUUUUUUUUGUGGAAGUCGUUUAGAAUUCUAAGAUCGGAAGUCAAAUUUCAAUAACGAUUUUUUAAAAAUAUUAAUUUAAUAUAUAUAUAGGGAGAGAGAGAUUCUUGAGUGCAUAUACUUAACAUUAUAUAGUGUUAUAGCGAAUUUACACAAAAUUUACAUAUCGACACUUGAGAAUUUCUAUAUAUCAAAGCUUUUAAAUGCAGAAGUCUAAAUAUGGAUUUCAUGCGGAUUCACUACAAAAUCAUAUGAUGUUAACAUGUUUUUACAAUUGACUAUAAUACCACAUGAUGUUGUAGAAAAUCACACGGAAUCUCUAUAAUAUAAAGAGAGAGAUCUUGCUUUGCUUUAUAAUUGAAUAUAGGGUGGUGAUAUUCCCAUCGCUCAAAUUUUGUAAACCUACCUCACUUUAAAAAAUUAAAUCAUAAAAAAUUCACAUUAUUUUUAACGAUUUCAAAUUAUUAAGAAUAAAAUAAGCAAUUGACUAAUUAAAUCCUUAUUAAAUAAUUAAAAUACAUUUAUGAUAUGAUAUCUCAAAAAAUUUAUAUUAUUUUUCCCAUGAAAUUUACUAAUUACAAGAAAGAUCUGAUUGAUUAAUUGUUUAAAUUUUAUUUAUUUUAAAUUGAAAAAAUGUGAAUUAUUUUUUAAAUAAUUCUUUGAAAUGAUUUAAAUGUGGUACGUGUCCCACCAAGUUAAAACCUGAAGCUGAUUUAAAUUUUAUUUUGGAACGGAAACCUAGUAGCGAGGCUUCGUUCUUCAGGAAAUUCCGAGGUAAGUUAAUCAACGUUUCCACUAAUUACUUUUAUUUUGCUUCCAAAGUUUAUUUAAUUAGACCAAUUUCUGGCUUCCGACUUAAAUUGCAUAUCCAAUUUAGUGGUUGAUUUUUGGAGAUGGAGAUAAACUGAAACAUUGAUAAGCUUAGGGAAAAAAAAAUUCGAUGGAGAUUGAAAGUUCUUCGAUAGGAUUCUAGGGUUUUGAUUAGAGAAUUAAGAGAGAAUAGAUGAAGAAUUUAAAGAGAAGGGAGAAGAAUUAAUAGGAAUUAGAAUUAAUUUUAUUACUUGCCUCCUAAAAAUAUAAUAAGAACCACUUAUUUAUAGUAGUUCAAGACAAUCAUAAUUAUAAUUUAAUAAGGACUUUAAUUGAAAUAAGAAAACCUAAUACUAAUAGGAAAGAAAUUAAAACAAGCAAUUAAAAUAAAAUAAACUAUUAGGGUCCUAACAUUCACUGCCCCUUAAAACAGGCUUGUCCGCAAGCCUUUUACCCAGUUUCAAUAACCGAGAUCUUCCAAUCCACAUGAUGGUCAGGUGGUUUUUGAGGGUUGUGAAGAGGUAUAUUAGCGUCUAAAAGCAAUAGUUGAGAUUGUUUGCAGCGAUGUCCAGGCUUGAAUUGCUCAUCACAGUUGAAACAAAGCCCUUUAGAACGUCUUUCCGCCUGCUCAGUUGAGGAUAAACGUUUGACAUUAUUAGGUAAGAUAGAGGGAACCAGUCCUAAUAAAGAGGGUGCUGGUGGAGUAGGAGUUGACUGUAAUUGUGGGAGUGGAUCUUGGAUGGCAGGAAUAGGGGAACAAUUGCCUUGUAAAGUAAUUGCCUUUUCCUGAAAUCUAGCAAGUUCAAAAGUUUGUAGGAGACUAACAGGUUUGAAUAGUUGUACGCCAGCCUUGAUAUCUUUACGUAACCCAGAGAGGAAACAACUAAUGGAGAAAAGCUCAGUUAAAUUGCUAGUCCGAUCAGCCAACUUUUCAAAUUGUCGUUGAUAGUCAAGAACAGUCCCUGUUUGACAUAGUUUGGUAAGACUGCCAACUGCAUCAUUCUCUUCUAAUGUCCCAAAUCGAGUAGUCAAAGCUCGUUUAAAUUGCGCCCAAGUCAUUUCGCCCAUAGUCUGCUCUAGCCAAUGAAACCAAGGUACCGCAUCACCAUCAAAAUGGCCAAUAGCUAAAGACAAUAAGUCAGCAUCUGAUAAUCCAGUAAGGCGACGAUAUUGCUCACAUCGAAAAAUCCAUCCCGUUGGAUUGUCACCAUGAAAAAUAGGAAAGUCAAGGCAUAUGUUACGAGCUUGCACAAGAGUACUUCCAAUGCGUUCAGUAGGUUCAAGAGGGGAAUGGGUAGCAAUGACCGUUUGAGGAGCAGAGGUCCCUCCAGUAAAUAUAUCAACUUGUCGUUGAUCAGUAGCUGGUUGUUUGCCUUUUCACAACUAACUCAAUUACUGAAGGAUGCCGUGCAUGAGUUCCUGCAAAUCGUUAUUCUGCUUGGCUAAGGUUGUAACCUUUUCAUCGAUGGCUGUAAACUUGUCAUGGAAUUGUUGUGAUAACUGCUCAACUUGGCCUUCAAGCUCUUUAACAGUCAUGAUGCCUAAAAAAAGUUCGAAGAAAAUUCACGUUUGGUUGAAAAAUUUAGAUGCUGGAAAAAGUUUGGAGGGUGUGCCCGGUUCAAGUCUCCAAAAGCCAAGAGAUAUUGACAAAAGUUUGGUUGCUGUUUUUUUUUUCAAAUAGUGAACGAAAAAAAAAAUGGUGGCAGGAAGGAUGUGCUCUGAUACCAGAUGAUAGGAUUCUAGGGUUUUGAUUAGAGAAUUAAAAGAGAAUAGAUGAAGAAUUUAAAGAGAAGGGAGAAGAAUUAAUAGGAAUUAGAAUUAAUUUUAUUACUUGUCUCCUAAAAUUAUAAUAAGAACCACUUAUUUAUAGUAGUUCAAGACAAUCCUAAUUGUAAUUUAAUAACGACUUUAAUUGAAAUAAGAAAACCUAAUACUAAUAGGAAAGAAAUUAAAACAAGCAAUUAAAAUAAAAUAAACUAGUAGGGUCCUAACAUUCUUAUUACCUACAAAUGCAAUUAAUUAAAAUUUCUAAAAUUACUGUAAUUGUUGGCAAUGUGGGUUUUUUUUUUUUUGGUUUUGGGAGAGGGGGUCUGAAAUUUGCAUGCAUGCCUUAAUUGAGUUUUAUCACUUUAAAUCUUAAUUACUAAUGUUUUUUCUAUUAACGGUUGAAAAUAAGAUAAGAAGAGAGACGGUGAACUUGAAGAAGUAUAAGAAGAAAAGACAUGUACUGAUGUUGAUAUGUUUAUGUGAAUAAAGAAAUGGAAUCUUUGUCCAAGUUUUUCCCUUGAUGUUCUAAAGUUUGCAUAUAUAUGUUUCAAGAAACAAAUGGAAAUUAAAUAGUACAUAAAGGUGAACUCACAUCGUCGACUAAAGGUUACACUACCAUUUGCCCAAUGGUUCCAUUUCUAUUAUCAUUUUCUUUAUUCACAGAAAUAUCGUCGGCCUCAAAUUCAUCAGUAUAAAAAGAGGGACAAGGGCAAGGACAAGGACAGGGUGAAUCUAUUCUAUGACAACAGCAAGUCUGAAAUUUAGUUUUAUUUCUGCUGCCGCACUGAGGAAUCACGAGCAUCAACCACCUACUUUAUUACCGUUGCUUCAUUUUUCUCCUGAAGACAGUUGACUUGACGAAAUAACAUUUUUAAUGAGGCUGCCUUAGAGAAAGCAUAUAUGUUAAUCAUCUGUUGUAAUCUCAUGCCAAAAUCAUUUCAGUUCCUGCUCAUAAAAUUAGUUACUUCAACCUUUGUCAUAUGUAUUCUCCACUGCUUUAAGAUACUUUGAUAGUGAAUGUGUCUAAAUUCCAACUCAAAAGAUUCAUUUGAGGAAAAUUUCUUCAGAUGGUCAUGUAGAGUUCUAAUUUAUCUCAGCGUCAUACUCUAAAUACUUGAAAACUACAUGUCAAUCAUCAAUGUUCAUCUUUUGUUGACAAUCUCAACGAUCAAGUGUGUUUGGGAAAAAAUUAUCACAAUUAUGUUUAGUCCAUUUAUAAGACAAUGUGUCAAGUGAUCCAUUAGUCUAUUUAAAGGUUGCAAUCAAAUGAGUUCAUGUCCAGAUUGUGAAGUUGGUUAAUUUCAACAUAAUAGCAAUGAUUGUAUCCAGUGCUUUUAUAAAGUUGCUAUGUUAUUACUUCUUUAGUAAGUGGCAGACAUGACUUUCUAUUUUUCCACAGCUUCAAUUGUUAAAUAAUUGAUAAUGCUCUUUCGCUUACUCUGUUCUUUUUUUUUUUAGAUAAGCUUUAUUGCUUUUGCCCUUUCUUUCUUGAGAGUGGAUGUAUAAAACAAAUUGGCCUUGACUGAUACUUGAUGAUGUUGUAAUUAUUUCUCCCUGCUUUAUUCUUUUUACAAUAUAUGGAAGACAAAGUAUUGUAAGAUUCAUUUCCCGCACUGCUCUGCCUUGAUCUGUUCUAAUUUGAGAGUCAGCAAUCUUGAUUCAACUUCUUGGAUGGAGUACUAGCUAAGAGAAGGGAGGAAUGGGAGCCAACACUAAUUUUUCAAUGAGGAGAUAUGGGCAUCAACUUCAGACUAUUUUCGGAGAGGCUGAGAAGGGUGUUAGCUGGCCAAGAAGUCACAUUGCCUGAUGCUGCAAAACAACCUAUUCAGAACCUUCAUGCCGAGGUUGAAAUCGUUACUCCUUGGCUAAGGGACUAUGAAUAUGAUAUGUCCUGGCUUCUGCUGCAAAACAUAGGAGAAGAUGAAGUUGACAACCCAGACCUUGGGCAGAAAUCAAUUGCUUUACCUAUGAAUCUGAGAAGGUCAAUGACACAUUCUCAACAGCAUCACUCAACAGAAGAGUCAAAGCAGGUGCAACAAGGACAUUUGUGAUGCUCUGCUAGGACUUCAGAGUAGAAUCAAUGAUAUAAAACAGCGGAUGCAACAACUUCAAUACAUAGAUUCCGGAAUCAUUGAUGAUUUCAAAAGUAUUGAAGAUGAAGCUGACUAUUUUCCUGCAUCUUCAUCUUCUAAGAAUAGCGGCAUGGUGGGUCUAGAAGACAGAAUGGAGAAGUUGUUAGAUAUUUUGAAAGAGGGACCACCUCAGCUUUCAGUGGUGGCCAUCUUGAUAGCAUUGGGUUGGACAAUGUGGCUUUUGCUGCAGAGGCUUACAGCAGCAGUGAUGUGAAGCAUUAUUUUAAUUGUCACGCUUGGGUUCCAGAGCCUUACAGCUAUGACGCUGAUGAUGACCAAAUAUUAGAUAUCAUUAUUAAGUUUCUAAUGCCUUUAUCUAGGUUGAGUAUAAUAAAGGAUAAAAAUUAUGAAAUGAAAAAAAAAUUCAAGAACAUCUAAUGAUCAAGUGGUAUUUGAUUGUGGUUGAUGAUGUGUGGAGCAUUGAAGUCUGGGAUGUUAUUCGAGAAAUUGUUCUGGAUAAUCAGAAUGGAUGUGGAGUACUAAUAACACUCACUGAAAUUGAUAUUGUCAUCGCAUUUCAGUUCAAAAGCAGACAUAAUAUUUGGCUUGAUUUAGUGCCCACUAAGAGGACUAUUGAGAGUUGUUUACCUUUUUGAAGUACAUGGAACAACUAAUGAAUAGAGUCUUUGUUGAUGCAAAGAAGAGAAGUGAUGGAGGCAAAAUCAACGCAUGCCCUAUUCGUAGUCGUUGCUGGCCUUCAUUGUGGCAAACGGCUCUCAAAGCAGAAUUUAUCUUUUCAUCCUAUCCUGGAUCAGAAAGGUAAAUCGCGAAAAAAUGUCAACCAUGUCUACGUUUUUUAAAAACAGAGUGAUUUUGCUUACUUAGAUGAUUGUGACUCCCACCCGCAUUCUUUUGUCGUACUUCAAAAAGCGACCACCUUGACCCCAUAGAUUGGAUGAAAAUUUGUUAUACUUAAAAAAGCGACCACCUUGACCCCAUAGAUUGGGUGAAAAUUGUUUUGAGUAAUGGACUUGGGAUCUCUUGUUCUCAGCCAAUUUCCAUCCAAAAUUGAAACUUUAUUUCUUUGAUAUGAAGCUGAAUAUCCCUUCCCUCAAAAGCCUGGCUUUAUCAUUAUUAAGAAAUCUCUGAAUCUCUACACCAUAGCCAUUCCCUUUAGCUACAUAAAUCAUACAACAGAUGAAUUUUGGAAGAUGAACAAACUCAGGCAUCUAAAUUUUGGCUCGAUCAUACCUCCCGCACAUCCAGGAAAAUAUUGCGGCUCUUUGGAAAAUCUCAAUUUCAUUACAGCCACGCAUCCUUGCUGCUGUAUUGAAGAUAUAUUGAACAGACUACCUAAUCCUCAAAAUCUCUGGAUAUGAGGAGAUUUAUAUUUUUAUCAAUUUUUGAUGUCCCAAAGCCUUUGCAGAUUCAGAUGCCUCAAGUCAUUGAAGAUGGUGAAUGAAAGCAAGAUGCCAAGGCUCUUCAAAAUCGUCUGUGCCAAAUACCUACUUCCUCAAAGUCUAAUCCACUUGAGUUUUUCAAAUAUUGAACAAAUGGAUGAUCCCAUGCCUGCACUAGAAACGUUUCCACUUCUUCAAGUGCUCAAACUGAAGCAAAGCUCAUAUUUAGGUAAAUAGCUUACUUGUGGGCGUGAUGGUUUCCCAAAGCUCAAGAUAGUGCACCUGAAUUCAAUGCCAUGGCUAGAGAAGUGGACUAUGAGGCUUGGAGCCAUGCCAAAACUGGAAUGCUUGAUUCUCAAUUCUUGUGCUAAUUAGAAAAAGAUUCCUGAAUAGCUCUGGUGCACAAAGAGCUUAAACAAAUUCGAGUGUUGGUGGCUUCAGCCGGAGCUGAGACAAAAGCUACGGGACUUCGAGGAUAAGGCGCAGUAUGACAAUCAAGUAUAUCCUUAUGGAAUUUGAUUUGCAUGGAUUUAAUUAGAUGUAAGUUUUUCAUUUUAUGCUAUAUCAUCAACCUUUAAUUAUUAAUCUAAUUUCAUACAUUUUUUUUUCUUCUCCUCAAUAUAUUUGAUAGUACGCAGCUUGCUAAUGCUAUAAAGUGUUUUCUAAUUGUGGUUGCUUCUAAUUCUUGUCUCAACAUUAGACAUGAAGUGUUCAUCACAGUUCCUAUUGCUGACCCCGACCAUUUUCCCUUAAUUAUUUUUAGAAGAGGAAGAACCCUUGUGUAUUGAUUGUUGAACAGUCAGGAAAAACUAUAAUUUCAGAUCUUAAAUUACUAGCGCAGGUGAAAUCAUACCGGGAAAUAUGUCAAGUGUAGUGCAGCAAAAGUUUCAAUUUCAACCAGAAUCCGGCCUUGAUCCUUUCAGUAUUCACUUAUGUUGUCUACACAUUAUUGAGUCCUCAGGAUUGAUACAGGACAUUGUUGGGUUUCUUUGUUUUCAAGGAUCUGCUACAAGUAAUAAUGUCAAGUUUUUGGAUUCACUGUGUAUAUUCUAUUCGUGUGUCUUCAUUCUUGUAAUGUGCUUGAAACUCCAACUUAGUGUGGACGUGUGUGGUUUGGUCGUACCAUGUGUAAUACAUGUUAAUUGUCAUAAUUGUCUUAAGGGAAUUCUGCAUCACUUCCAUUAGAAGAAAAGUUUGGAUGUAGGCACCAUUGUUGCUGAAUCUACUGUUGAUUUGCUCUAUGUUUUCUAUAUUUUUUUUAAUUCAAUUUCGGGGAUUGCGUUUCUAGCGUUGAUUGUUGAUACAUCAGAGGACUAAAUAAAAGAAAUAGAAACUGGGGCAUAUUGCCUAAUCUUCAGAAUCUCCAAUUUUAUGGAGAUUCAAGUCCUUAUCAUUCAUAAAUAACUUGAAUGCUGGAUUGUUAUUAUCUUAGAUUCUCUAAAUAAUAAUCCAAAUAAGAAUGUAGGAAAAAUAUUGAUUACAAAUGCUUGUUUUGAACAAAUACUACCGAUUAUUUUAAAUUUUUGACAUAGAAAUUAUAAAUAGUAUUAGCAUGUGAAUUUUAAGGUAUUAGCCGAUUCUGUCCAAUUUUAGAGGUUGUUGCCUCAUGUUCACCUUAUAGUCGUUGGUUUUUGCUGAAAAAAUGAAUGUGUAUCAUUUUUUUUCCCUUUUAUUUUCUGUUAUACAUUGAUUCCCCUACUUCUAGCUGAUUCUGUUCUCCUUUAUAACGAGAAAGAAGUUAUUUUUUGUGCGCUUAUAUAUACAUGUUAAGCUUGGAUAUGUGUGGUUUGGUUUGUUUUAAUAAUAUGAUUGUGUGGUGUCAUCGGUAAUACUUUUUAAGGGUGCAAUCAAAUGAGUUUAUACCUUAUAGUGAAUUUGGUUAAUUUCAAGAUAUCAUUUUUUGGGAUCUUCGGCUUUGGUUGCUAAUACAAAAUUCCUCAAAUCUCGAUUGGAAUUUGGGAAUCCGUCCUAAAUGAUACAAGAUUUGAUAAAAGUUUCUCAUUCUGAUUUAUUAUUCGAGUUGAGAUUCAAGAUCUAAUUUUCUUCCAACUUAAUAUUCAAGACGGGAUUUGAGAUGUCUGAAAAUCUCAUUCGAGAUCCCUUAGGCAAUCAAAUGGGUCCAUAUAUCCUUAUAAUGAAUUUGGUUAAAUUCAAGAUACCCUUUUUUGGGAUCUCCCGCUCUAACUGUUAAUACGUGAACCUAGGCUGGCAAAAUUAUCCAGAUACCAAUCGAGAUACAAACCCUAUAUAAGAUUUGUUACAAAUUUCAUAUCCCAAUUUUCAAUGUAGGUCAGGAUUUAGGACCCCAUUUUAUACCGAUUCAUAAAUUUCUUUAUUUAGACAAUAACUGAUGACAUAUUAUUAGUUCAAAGCUCACGGAGUAAAGGUUGAAUUAUUGGUGCAAUCAUCCGCAAUUUUCUGCAAGCAUGCAACAUAUUAAACAAGAGAAUAUUUAAUUAUUUUUUGGGUUCUGUUAUUACAAUAAUGAUUUUGAAGAUAUUAGUUGGAGAAAAAUGGUUUUUUUAAGUCAUUUUCAAUCUUGAGAAAAAGUUUUCUUGCUGGCACACACUGUCUUUUAUCUAUAUUCUAGUCUUCCAUUAUGUUAAAAAAAAUAAAUAUGAAAAUAAAAAGAAAAUAGGACAUCAUCAAGUAUCAAUCAAAGAUCAAUUUGUUUUAUCCACUUUCAGGAAAGAAAAGGUAAAAGCAAUCCCACUGGGGACCAUAAAGUUUAUCUCAAAAGAAAAAGCACUACAAUAGUCGAACACAAAGAAGAGUAAUAAUGAGUAGAGCUGGCAAAACGGGUCAUCGGGUCGUGUUCGUGUCAUGUCAGCUUCGUAUCGUGUCAAAUUUAGGUCGACCCAAACCCGACCCAUUUAAUAAUCAUGUCAAAAUAUUGAGACCCAAACCCGACACGGAAAAAUAAUCGGGUAACCCAAUAACCCGUUUAAUAUCUAUAUAUUGAACAAAAGUUACAUCAAAUAUUUAUGCACUAUAGUACAUACGUAUGCACAUACAUACAUACAUAAUUUAUCGAUACUAUAAAAUAUACAUAUCUACGAAUAUAUUACACAUUUACACUAUUGAGGUUUUAAUUAUAUAUAUAUACAUAUACAUAUAUAUAUAUAUAUAUAUAUAUUAUAAAAUAUACAUGUCUAAAUGUAUUUAAAAUUUUAUAAAUAAAACACUGUGUUUAUAUUCACCCUUUUAAAGAAUAAAAAAAAAAUCAUCUCUAAUAUUUGAGUUUUAAUGAUAAGAAUAUGUAAAUUAUUUUAAAAUAGAAAAUAUAAUCGGAUCAUUGAUCGGGUAAAUGGGUCAAGAAUUUUAACCCUAACCCGACACGGAAAAAAAUAGUGUUGACCCGGACUCGACCCAUUUAAUAAUCGUGUUAAAUUUGACGACCCAUACCCAUUUAUUUAUGUCGUGUUCGUGUCGGGUAAUCGGGUCGUGUCAAAUUUUGCCAGCUCUAAUAAUGAGAAAGGAGUUGCAUAUAAGUUGAAGAUUUUUAUUUUUUUUUUAAAGAAGGGCCCGACAUCAUGAUGCUUUCAAUUAGCGAAGGAUAUAUGAAAAAGAGAUGAAUAUUGCACUUUAGAUUUGGAUAAUUCCGAUUGGAUUUUGAAUUGUUUGGAUUAGGAAAAAAAAAUCAUUCAAAUCCAACCUAAAUCUCAAAUACAAUCAAUUCGAUUCAAAAUAAAUAGAUAUUUCAGAUGAAUUUGGUUUUAGAUUGUUUAGUAUUUAAAUUCAAAUAGUAUUUUAAAUUCGGAUUGAAUUCGAAUUUAGGUCUUUUUGAUAAUUUUUACAAAACAAUCCUGAAUUCUAUAUAUAUAUGUAGAGUAGUUCAAUCCAAUCAGAUUGUUUAGAUUAAAACAUCCAAAUUCAAAUCAGAUCUAUUCGAAUCCAAUCCAAUGCACACCUUUAGCCCUAUUGAAUGAUCAUCUAACCAUUGAAACUAUAACGCAUUCUGUUGUAGUCUGUAGAGCGCUUGAAAAGAAAAUAUCUAAACAAUAGGGACUAUUAUGCAUUAGAUGCAUCAAUGAAUCAAAUUCUAAGGUGAUGCUUUUUUUCUUUAGACAAGCUUUAUGGUCCCAGUGGAAUUAUUUUUAAUCUUUCAGUCUUUUGAGAGGGCAAAAAAGAAACUAGUCUUGAUAGCUUAUUUUACUUUCUUCAUACAUAUACAUAUACAUAUAACACAAAUUAUAAGACACCCUUUUAUCUUCUUGCAUAAUUAAUAUUUUAUAUACACGUACAUUAUACCUCAGGUUUUGUGCAAAAAAUCAUUAUUGUACAUCAAUAAUUUCUCAAUAUAAUCCCUCUUUAUCAAUCAGUAUCCCCACGACAUCUACAGCAUUUAGUUUUAAGAUUCAUUUUCUAGUACUGCUCUGCCUUAAUCUGUUCUGCCUCAACAGCCACCUGAACUUGAUUCAACUUCUUGACAGAAGGAGGUAUUGGUGCCAUCCUCAGUUGAUUAUGUUGACUAAUGUUGAAUUAAAAGGAGAGCUUUUAACAAUUUUUUUUUAAUUAUUUUCUUUGCAUGCUAGGGCUACUGGCUACUGACUACCGAGAGUAAAGGAGAUAUGGACAUCAACCUUGGACUAUUUUCAGAGAGACUGAGAAGGGUGCUAGCUGCUGAAGAAUUCACGGUGCCCGAUGCUGCUGAACAACCUAUUCAGAACCUUUACACUGAGACUGAAAUCGUUGCUUCUUGGCUGAGGGACUCUGGAUACAACACUGCUUGGUUUAUGUAGCAAGUCAAUGCAGAAGAGGGUUAAACUCUGGCAAAAUUAGAAGAUUUUAAGGCUAUCAUUGACAAAAUUCAUUGUUUUUCAUACGUAUCUGAGAAUGUGAUUGACACAUUUGCUAUUAGCAUCACUCAACAGAAGAGUCAAAGCAGAUGCAGCAAGGACAUUUGUGAUGCUCUGCUAGGACUCCAAAGCAAAAUCAUUGAUAUAAAACAACGGAUGCAGCAAGUUCAGCACAUCCACUCCCGAAUCGUUGAUGAGCUCAAAUCGUUUGAACCAAAAGCCGGUAAUUUUCCUGCAUCCUUGUCUUUUAAGAAUAGGGACACGGUGGGUCUAGAUAAU
rnacentral:lncRNA from 1 species